GAGCAGUGGUGGAUAAAAAACUAAUCGAUCAAGUAAAGCAACUUGAGCGUUUCAACAGGCCGACUAUAUUCCCGAAUAAUUCGAAUUCUGAUGUUAAUGAUUUUCGUCGAUUUACUUGGGAUUAUUCAAAAUUACGACAUAAAUGUAUAACUGGAUAAGAAAUUGGCCAAGAAGUAAUGAGCGAACGAAAGUGAUUUAACAUUACGUUUCCAGAUAUCAGAUACCUAAUCACGAACUGUCACAUCCAAAAUAGCAAAACCAGAAACAGAGAACCAAAGAUACCACAACCAGAAACCAUAAGCAGAACCAGAACCAGAGAACAGUCACAAUCUCAAAUCCUAAUCUAAUUACCAACCACCACCACCUCCGCCGCUUCCUCCAUAACCACCACCUUCACCACCUCCGUAUCCACCACCCUCGCGUCUGCCACCACCGUAGCUUCCGCCGCCACCACCUCCUCUUGAGGAGUAUCCACCUCCACCACCAGAGUAACCACCCUCGCGUCUUCCGCCGCCACCUCCGUAUCCACCGCCACCACCUCCGUAGCCACCGCCGCCGCUGCGGUAUCCACCGCCACCACCACCACGGCCGCCUCCGCCACCGCUUCCACGUGACUGAGCCUCGUUCACAGUGAUGCUGCGACCAUCGAGCUCCUGUCCGUUCAUUCCCUCAAUGGCGUCUUUCAUGGAUUUCUCAUCCUUGAAAGUGACGAAUCCGAAUCCCCUCGAUCUUCCAGUCUCACGAUCGUUAAUGAUCUGGAAACAUAAAAACGAAACAGAUCAGCCAAAUAAUCCAACACAGACGGACACACAAAUCGAGCCAAAAAAUUUCAAAAAGAAAACGAUCGAUCUCCGGGCUCAUAAAAGCAGGAAGAUGAACGUACCGAUUGGGAAAAACAAGUAACAGAGUAACAAAGAACGAGAGAGAGAGCAUGCAUAGUAACAGUAAUUCGAAUCAAGUAACAGAGAAACACAGAUCGGAACAGAUCCGUCGAGGAUCAGAAUCAUCGGAAUCCCGGAGAGUCCGAUCUCUGCGUGUAACGGACCUUGGAAUCAAUAACGUCGCCGUACUGAGAGAAGGCAGUCUCGAGAGCUCUGUCAUCAGUGGCCCAAGCUAGGCCUCCAACGAAGCACCGGAACUCGACAUCUGCGGACGCCAUUGAAUGAGAGAAAUGAUAGAGAAGAUCUAAAAAAAGAGAAGUGGAGAGAUCUGAGUGAUGAGUGAGGGAGACGAAGAAUCUCUUUAUAAUGGGGCUGAGAUAUUUAACCAAGGUUAGAUAUUUUCUAGGGUUAGAGUCGGUUUUUAAUGAAAUUUGGUUUAACUAUGGUUAAGCGUGUGGUUUAAAAUGGUGGUGGUUGGAGACACCUCACGUGACACUUUUUUGGAUUAAUGCGCAAAUGGAAAGACGAUGCAGGAAAAGAUAUUUUUUCUUUCCGCUUGUUCCAAGAAAAAUAUCUAGUCAGGUAGAAAUAUCUGCUAAAUGAAAUGACAAGUUUACCCCGUAAGUCUCAUCUCGUAUUCAGAUCACUGAGCCGACUGACACUGGGCCGGAAAUUUAUUUUUGGACAUAAGAGAAAAACCUAAUUGGGUCAGAAUCUUAGCCCAGAAUUAAUAUUAGGCCGAAAAUAAACUCAAAAUAUAUAUAUUUGAAAAAAACAAUUGUUGACAGUGGGUUUGAACCCACGCCCUUUCGGACAGGAACCUUAAUCCUGCGCCUUAGACCAACUCGGCCAUAUCAACUUUGAUGUUUUGUUAUAGUAAAUCUUCUUUUUUUUUUAAUUUCCCCUUAUUGUUGAACCUGAGACAUUAUUCCCCUUUAAUUCUUCUGAAGAAUCUGAAGAAUCAAAACUCGAAAGUCUUUCCCAAACCAAGCUUCUGAAAGUUCAUUCCCUUAAUGUGAUAUAUGUCUUCUUGGGUACAAUAAUCAAAAGGAACACUUUGAUUUUAAUAUCAAACGAAAAUAGAGCAUGCUAUGAUUAAGAAGCAAGUCUUCAGAGGUGCAUGCAUUGACCCAAAAUUUAGAUUUGAAUCCCAUUAUUAUUUUCAAUCUAGUAAAACUAACUUCUGAAUUUGUUUGGCUCAUGCAAAAAUCUAUCAUAUUUCUAAUAUUCACAUGGAAGACUAGGGUUUUAACUAUUAAGUAUCGAUUAUCUUCUAAAUUAUCAGUCUCGAAUUAAUAAAAUUCCUCUUCAUUCCUUAAAAAUAUAUCAUUUAUAUGGAAUUUAUUUAUAUACAUUCCUUUUGUUCCUCAUAAAAUACACUAUUUAUAAAAAAAAAAUUUUUUACACACUAUUCCUUAUCAUUUUUUUAUUUUUAGGAAAUUAUAGAACAAAAAUAUUCAUAACCAAAUUUAACAAAAAACAAUAAGAUAUUAUGUAUCUUCAUUCCCUUCCUAUUCAUUCCUAUUAUGUUUUUAUAAUUGCCAAUUAAAGUCUAAAGUAUUAACUAUUUAAGUAUCGAUUAUCUUCUAAACUACCAGUCCGAACUAUAAAAUUAUUUCACUCAUAGAGACAUGUUUGAAACAAUUUAUAUAUUACACUAUUGUACUUACAUAAACAUGGAUCUACAUGUUUGAUUCUCUUAUUAAAAAAACAUGGUAUUUCUCCCUCAGAUUGGAGUUUUGUCGGGAUAAUGUCAUCUUCUUUAGGUGGUUUGCCUUCUUUAACAUGUAAAUCGCCGCUUCUUUCUCUGCUUCUGUUCCUUGGUACCCAAUCCACUCAACUGUUUCGAGACCCGACACAAAACAUUCAGGAACACAACACGGUUGCUCCCACUGAGCUUCGAAAUCUCUGAACAUGCCGCAGUUUAACUGAACAUACCAACAAAAAAAAACGGCAUGUGACCUUUACAUGUUGGAAUCGGUAAUUGUUUAUAAAGAAGUUGGAAUUACCGGCCUAAAGAUUUGUUACAAGGGAUAAUCAAGAUCGUUAUUCGUUACAGUUCUUAUAAAUAGCUGUGUUCAAAUUGUAAUGUCACACGGCUUGCUUUCUCUAUCACAGGCCAGGAGUCAAGACUUUGGAUUGUAAUAGACGUACCUGACUUGUAUAUUGAGAAGAUUGUACUACAUUGAUAAUAAUUUGGUAUAUAUAGACUAUCCCCAUGAAGAUGGUCGAGCAAAACGAAUUGGCUUACUUUAACUGGUUGUUAUGAUCUCAUGGAUAGCCAUUACAAAGACCAAGAAGCUUUAGACAAUUAUUCUACAAAACGUUUUAUUUAUAUCGAAGUCCUCUUCUCAAACUGUUUAAAAAGCCUGGGGAACGGGCAAGACACUUCAGAAGUACAGGGUCCUGCCUGGAGGAGCCUCUUCCACAGUCAAGAAUCGAGAACCACGAUUAUUUCUGUGAGACUCUUCCACAUGGAUGUAUUUACCAUCAAUCUCAAUGCCUUCCAUCAUCAAAACAGCAUAUCUCAUCGAUUCCUCCUCUUUAAAAGUAACAAAACCAUGUCGUAUCGAUUUUCCUGUCCCAGGACGGCAAAUGAUCUACGAAUACAUAGAAAAUCAUGAAAAAACAAUCAAAGCCGACACUUAAUCGUGAAUUGUCAGAUAUCAAAAUGAUUAAUAUACAGAAACAACAACAAAAAAAAAGUAAACAAAUAUACAGUAACCAAAUCCUAAUUAAAGUAGACCUCGCAAUCUGUAACAUCGCCAAACAUGCAAAAUGCUCUUGCAAGACGAGUUGCAUCAGUAUCGCGGUUCAGAUUAUGAACAAAGCAAACAAACCCUUUCGGACCGUGUAAUGGCAUCUCUCAUCGAUUUCUCGUCCUCAAAAGUAACAAAACCAAAUCUUCUCGAUGUUCCAUUCAUAAACGUGAUCUUUUGGAAACAAAUUAAGAUAAACGGUACAGAUCAGUAAAAAGAGUAUCUGACAAAAUGUUCAUGCACAAACGUAAAAUAAUAACUAAAUGUUCAAGGCGUGACUGACUUCAGAUUUGAUAACGUUGCCAAACUUUGAAAAGACUCUCUUCAGAUCAUUUGCAUCCGUUUCUCUGUCCACCGAGAACUAAGCACCUGAACUCAGAAUCUGCUGAAGCCAUUUGAAAAAAAAAAAACGACUAAUCAGGGUUUCUAUGUAGAAUAAGGAGAAACUUGUAAAAAAAUGUUGUGAGAAGUUGAAUUCAAUUUAUAGAAAAGGGGAGAGGAUUAGGGUUUUGGAUUUUUUUUUAAUAUGUUAAUUACGAUUUAAUCUUUAAAUUUGACCCCAAAAAAAAUGAAUUACAGUUACGGUGAGUUUUAUGAUAGAGGAGAGGAAACUGUUUAGCAAAUCGUGGAAUCGUGGAUUUUGAUGAGAUAAUAUAGGAUUUUUAAAAUGAUAGUUUUUGGUUUUUAACGUUUAAAUUAUUUUUUUACUCAACCACAUGUCACCAUGUCAUUGGUGAAGUGACUCGUGAUUAUGUAUAAUAAAGAUAUUAGAUUUUAACCCCGUGCGUCCGCACGAGAAUGUUUGAUUUUUUAUUUCUAAUAUAAGUUGCAUUUAUCAUUUUUGUUUAGAUAUAAUUUAUUUUUGUUAUUUAUUUUUUUUAAUCAAAAAAUUGUUAUUAUAUUUUAAUUUUAAACAGUAAAAUUUGUAUAUUAGUAGAAUAAGAGUAUAUGUUAAUUAAGUAUACAUUGAUCUAAUGUUAAUUAUAAACUUUGUUAUUAUGUAAAUUUAGAUUUACACAUAAACAAUCUAUAUAUCUAUGAAUUUGUUAAUCCAUCCGUUUAGUUGUCUUAAAUCAUUUUUAAUAACUUACAUGUUUUGACAAACUAACCCGUAUAAGACUAUAAUUAUAAUUGUAUAACCCUAUAAAUAUUUACUAAUAUGGAAUAUUUGGACCAAUUGAUUAUGAAAAUAUAUAAAAAGAUAUUUAUUUACUAUUUGUGCUAUUAAAAAAAAAAAAUAUAUAUAUUAACCUGUUAGUUUAAUUGUCUCAAAUCAUCUUAAUAUCUUACAUGUUUUAAUAAAUUAACUCAUGAACCUUAAAUAUAUAUAUAUAUAUAUAUAUAACUCUAAUAAGCUCGAUCAUAUUAUUGUAUAAUAGAAAUAUUUAUUAAUCUCAAAUAUUUAAUAUUUUAGAUUGAUUGUUUAUGAUAAAAUACGAUAAAAUAUUUAUUUACUAUGCAUUUUUAUAAAAAUAUUAUUUAAAUUUAAAUUUUAAAAUUAAAUCUUUUCUGUUUUUAAGAAAUUAUAAAGUACUAAAAUUACUAUCUAAAUUUUGUAAUAAAAUUUAAUUAUAUUUUUUUGAAUUUUUUGAAUUUAAAUUAAAUUGAACGCAAAUUUUUGUAACUAAAUUUAAUUAAAUUGAAAUUUAAAUUAAAGAUGACCUAGAUUUUAGAAAAUCUAAAAAUAUCUAAACUAAUAACUAAUUUUCGGAAAUUAAAUAUAAAAAUAAAAUAAAAUAUUAUAAAAAAAACUUUGGAAGUGUUUGGAUGCAAGUACUAAAUGUGCUUCUGUUUUAAUAGAAUAGAUAGAUGCAUGGACAAUCUUUUUUCUUAAAGCUCUCUAUGUGUUAUACAUAAUUUCCUUGGUAUCUCAGAUGAUCAAGAUCUAACAAUUCGUACUACGAUAGAAGAAAAUGAUCCCAUAUCUCUUAGCCGUUUCAUUUUUAUUGUGCGUGAUAUCCCCACUCUUUACAGUAUCAAAUUAACAAAAAGUUACUAUAAAAGACUAGUUUGCAACUUGUACCGUACAAGUUGUACGUCACGUUUAGAGACGUUUGACUCAAUUUCAUAGCUUUCUCGAUUGCUGUGAACUUCUUAAUGUUAACUUGUGAACCAGAAUCAGGUUAUUGAACCUAAACCAAGAUUUAUAUGAACCCGUAAUUGUUAAUAUAGAAGUUGGAAUCGGUCUAAAGUUUUGUUACAGGGAAUAAUUAAUGAAGAGAUCGUUAUUCGUUAACAAUUCUUAUAAUUAAAUAGCGUUGUCACAUCACAUAAAUAAUCUUCUAAUAAAUAAUUAAUACUUGAUUCAAAGCACCACGUCCCAAACAAUCACAUAGUGAUAUAUUAUAAAGGGGAGCCUAGAAGCUUAUUAUAUAAUUCUAUUAUAUAUAUAUAUCUUAUGAAACAUUGUCAAAUAUAUAUAUAUAUAUCUUAUGAAACUUGGGUUCAUGCCUUCUUCUUCUUUGGACCAACACCGUGACGACGACAACUUUUGCGAGACGAGUAAGCCUGUUCCACAGUUAUGGUUGUGUAUGGCGGGGCGAGCUUAUGAGUACCGUUCAUUCCGUUAAUAGCAUCCCUCAUGGAUUUCUCGUCUUUGAAAGUAACAAAUCCAUAUGCCAUUGAAUGAUCUUCAUCAUACUCAGAUGGAUAAACGACCUAUGAAACAAUGACUAACAUAAUUCAGAAUAAUUGUUAUAAAAAAAAAAAUCAAUACGUCGCCUAACUGGAUUUAUUAAUGAAAAAAAAAUGAAAAAACCAACAUAAGUUCCUAUAACGUCGCCAAACCGAGAAAACGCAUUCUUGCGAACAUAGCACUUGUAUUCAACAUCUUCGGACGCCAUUUUUGAAAGAUGCAGAUUGAUGAGGACAAUUUAUAUAAAAGAUUAUUUAUGUGGUUAUAAAUGCUAUCGAAUCUAAAAACUUUUAGAAACAAGCGUCUUUUUUCUUUCUUUGAAACUAGUUUUCCCUAGUUCCCAAACUUUCUAGAUAUUUUAUCUAAAUCUCAGUGUUUUUUUUUUUUCUGGUACAACUAAAAUGUGAAAACCAUUACUAGUAAAUUGAUUUUAUUGGAAAGUAGGAGUAUAUGUUUCCAAUAAAAGUCAAUUUGUUUUCUUGCUUAAGCUGUUAGUUUCAGUUUAUACUCCCUCCAUUUCACAAAGAGUGUCAUUUUGACACUUUAUGUUUGUUUCAAAAAGAAUGUCGUUUUAGAAUUUCAAUGUAAUUUUUAACAUAAAAUAUCAUUUUUAACCUCAAUAAAUUCAGAAAAUUAAUUAUAAAUAUGAUUCCAAAAGUCAUUUUCUACAAAUUAAUAAGGGUAUAAAAGACUUUUUAUCUUAUUUCUUAAUUUGUGUGAAGAUUGUCAGAACGACACUCUUUGUGAAACGGAGGGAGUACUAUUUUUUACCUACCACAACAAUUCAAUAAUAUCACUCAAAAUUUCUCAGUGAUUUGCUUAUGAAAUGCACUAUUGAAUGAUGAUGAAUACAAAAUUCUAACGAAACUCUUGUUGAAAUGCAUCUUUACAUUAUAAAGGUGCACUAAGCUACUAACGAAACUCUUGUCUCACUAUUGCUACUUUUUUCUGUUAAUUUGCAUUUGGAUAUAUAAUUCCUCUGGACAUCUGCAAGUGAGCACAGUUAGAUAAACACAAAACGCUAAUGUGCUUCUACUAUAUUUAAAUCUUGGUUUAGAGAUGAGUAGUUACUCUGGGAGCGAAACAAACCGGUUUAGUUAUAACCUGCGGUUGUCAUUAGGCUUGAAUUUUUCAGGAAUUGGGACGGGAAUUGACAGGUAAAGGAUGGGAAUUGAAAUUUUGGGAAUCUGAAUAUAUUACCCAAAAUAUUCCCACAAAAUAACGAGAGGGAAAUUUACGGGUAUGGGAUGGAAACGGGAAAUUCGAAAAUCAAAACACACUAUCCAUACAAUCCCAAAAUAAAAUAUAAUCAGGAAAAGGACGGGAAAGGAACAGGAAAGGGACGGGAAAAAUUUCGGAUAAUUCGGAUAAUUAAACUAAAAUCAAUUUUGUUUUUUUUUUUUAAAUUAUUAUUUGUUAAUAAAUUGGAAAAAUCAUUAUUUAUUAUAAAAAAAAUUUCAGUUAACCAAAAUCUCUAAAAUUUCACUUUAUAUAAUUACCCAACGGGAAGUUCGGGUAAUCCCAUUCCCGUCCCUACCCUUUUCCUUACCCAUUCAAAUAUUAUUUUCAAACCCAAAUGGGAAAUUACAAUUUCCCUUUUUCGAAAAGUUUGGGAAUUUCGGGACGGAUACGUUUCGGGACGGGUUACCCUUCCCGAAAAAUUCAGGCUUAGUUGUGACCUUGUGCGUAAUAUAGAUACUCACUUUUUACAGUAUCAAAUUAACAAAAAUUAUACUAAAAGCCUAGUUUGCAACUAAUAUCGACUUUGGCUCAAGAACAGGAUUUAAUAAAACUCUCUUUUAUUAAAUUUUAGGAAACUCUCUCAAAACCUAAAGAUCCAAAACACAAAACUCAUAAGUUAUUAACGACGACCCUACGACUGCGGAAAAUCAGUCGCCAAAAUGUCGCUAAAUAGUGAUUGCGAAUGUCGUCACUUCUUAGUCGCUAUCUAACGACGGAUUAGCGACUAAUAUGUAGUCACGAUUAAUCAGUCGCUAAAACGUCGAUAAAGUUGCAACUAAUUUGCGACAUAUGCGGCGAGUCGGUAUUAUUUAACACGUGUAAUACGUUUUAGGGUGGUUGUACCGGUUUUUCGCGACGAACCGUUGGCAGUCGCAAUAUAGUGACAAAACAGUCGCAUAUUAGUCGCAAAAUUUUCUAUAUAUUGAGAUCCCAUCUACGUUCCACUUCAUUAGUAUGCUUGCUAUCAUUUUGGUAGUUACUUUAUAAAAUUCCUUUAGCUGUAAGAAAUAUUUCUUACAAAAAAGGUGAAAAAAGAGUUAAGAAAAAAAAAACUCUUAUAAUAGAAAGAGAGUUAUAAUUUUAAUUAUAAUAAUUUUAGAGCUUGGAUGUAUAACCGAAUCGAUGAAAAGACGGGUAAUUUUUCGAAUGCGUUUAUAGAAGGAGUGGAGCAAUUCAUGAAUUUUGCAAAUAAUCAGACUAUAACACAAAGCAAUUGUGGUAAAUUUUUCUGCCCUUGUAGUGUAUGCAAUAAAACAAGUUUUUGUUGGGGAGUAAGAUUUGGAAUCAUCUAUACAGUAAAGGGUUCAUGCCAGAUUAUUAUGUUUGGUAUAAGCAUAGGGAAGAAAUAACUAUGGAUUAUGGAACUAGUUAUAAUAACAGUCAUCUAAGUGGGAGUGAAGAAAAAAUGGAUAAUAUAGCUGAAGAUAGAUAUGUGGAUAUGGUGAAUGAUGCAUUUUGUGAUAAUUUUCGUCAAGAUGAUAGCUAUUGUCUAGAUGAGAGUAAUGAAAAUGUAGAAGAACCUGUACGUAAUCAUCCCAAAAAUUUUUACGACUUGUUAGAAGCUGGGAAAAAACCAUUAUACGAUGGUUGUCAUGAAGGGCAUUCACAGUUAUCUUUAGCUGCUCGGUUCAUGCAAAAUAAGAUAGAUUAUAAUAUGAGUGAAAAAUGUAUGGAUUCAUGGGCCGCAUUGUUUACUGAGUAUUUACCAGAUGGAAAUCAAGCAACCAGUUCUCAUUACGAGACAGAGAAAUUGAUGGGAAACCUAGGCCUUCCUUUUCAUAAAAUUGAUGUUUGUAUCAACAAUUGUAUGAUCUUCUGGAAAGAGGACGAACAUUGGGAGAACUGUAAAUUUUGUCAAGCACCAAGAUAUAAGCAAGUCAAGGAAGGACGGCGAUCAAGAACCAGAAUACCAUAUAGUCGUAUGUGGUAUCUACCUAUAGCUGAUAGAUUAAAGAGAAUGUAUCAGAGCGAGAAGACAGCAGCGGCUAUGAGAUGGCAUGCUGAACACCAAGCCAAGGAUGGAGAAAUGUCACAUCCCUCUGAUGCUGCUGAGUGGAAAUAUUUUCAAGAUCUACAUCCUCAGUUUGCUGAAGAACCCCGAAAUGUUUAUCUUGGAUUAUGUACAGAUGGGUUUAAUCCAUUUGGCAUGUCUCGUAAUCAUUCUUUAUGGCCUGUGAUUUUGACCCCAUAUAAUUUACCUCCUGGUAUGUGCAUGAGGACAGAGUAUUUGUUCCUGACGAUAUUGAAUUCAGGGCCAAAUCAUCCACGAGCCAGUCUUGAUAUAUUCCUCCGACCUCUUAUUGAUGAGUUAAAAGAUCUAUGGUCUACUGGAGUGAAUGCAUAUGAUGUGUCCCUGAAACAAAACUUUAAUUUAAAAGCUGUGCUGCUGUGGACGAUAAGUGACUUUCCAGCAUACGGUAUGUUAUCAGGAUGGACUACUCAUGGUAAAUUGUCUUGUCCAAUUUGCAUGGAAGAUACAAAGGCUUUUUAUCUCCCUAAUGGAAGGAAGACAUGUUGGUUUGAUUGUCACAGAAGGUUUCUUCCACAAGAUCAUCCAUUAAGAAAAAAUAAAAAAGACUUUUUGAAGGGUAAAGGCAUGAGUGACUACCCACCAGAGUCUUUGACUGCUGAGCAAAUAUAUUCUGAGCGGAUAGAAUCUGUGAAUCCUGGUAGAACAUUUGAGUGCGGUGGAAAUGGUCAUGAAAAAAAGAAGGCUGGAUAUGGUAAGUGGCACAACUGGCACAAAGAAAGUAGUUUCUGGGAGUUGUCGUACUGGAGGGACCUUAAUCUCCGGCAUAAUCUUGAUGUGAUGCAUAUAGAAUAAGGCUAAAACGUGGCCCAUCUACUUCACUAGGGGAUACUUGUUUCAUACGCAGAAGCAUGGUGUGGACCGAAAAACCUGUAACUAUGGGAUAUGUGUGAAAGGAGAAAAUUAUACGGAUACAUCUGAUGAAGCCGAUUUCUAUGGAAUCUUAACUGAUAUCAUACAACUCGAGUACGAGGGAAUGGUAAAUUUGAAAAUCACACUUUUUAAAUGUAAUUGGUAUGACCCUGUUAUUGAUAGAGGCACACGAAGAAACAAUGGUGGCGUCACUGACGCUAAUUCAUCAAGAAGAUACAAUAAGUACGAACCAUUUAUCCUAGGUAUGUUGAUAUAUAUAUAUAUAUAUAUAUAUAUAUACUUAAAAUAUAUAUGUUUUUUUGUUGAAAGAAUCUUUUUAUUUUGCUGAUCUUCCACAGCUUCUCAAGCUGACCAAGUUUGUUAUAUUCCCUAUCCAUACCGAAAGAAACCGAAGCAAUUGUGGUUGAACGUGGUAAAAGUAAAUCCAAGAGGAAACAUUAAUGGAGAUUAUGAAGAGAAAGAACCAACUCUUUUACAACAAGUAAAUGAUGAUGAUAUAAUGCUGACUACAAUUGAGGAUCUUGUGGUCGAUAAUCGAGUACUCGGAGUAAACUCCAUAAAUCUUGAUUUUGAUGUUGAAGAUGCAGAACCAGCUGAUGAAUUUCAGUGUAACUUAUCAUCCUCAGAUGAUGAUGAAGAUGAAGAUGAACCUUACUAAUUAUUUUGUUUAAACUAGUUGAUAAUAUGAUGAAGAUUAAGAUGAACAUUACCAAUUUCAUUUUUUUAAAAAUUGUUUAAAUCAUUUGAUAUUAGUUGAUAUUAUCAAUUUAACUAAAUCAAAAUUAAACCAGAUUAAGAUUAAUCUUAAAACCAAAUUAAACCAUAAAACUAAACCAUAUCAAACCAGAUUAAAAUUUAGUUAACCCAUAAAACCUAAUUAAACCAUACUUAACCAAAAUUAACUCACUAACCCUAAAUUAACCCGAAGCCCACUAACUAAAUCCUAAGCCCACUAACUAAAAUUAACCCACUAACCCUAAAUUAACCCGAAGCCCACUAACUAAAUCCUAAGGCCACUAACACUUAACAAAAUUUCUUCUUCCCUCUAGUCGAUCUAAACGACUAAACCCUAAUUCCUCUUUCUCUUCUCUCGAUCAUUCCGCCUCUUCUCUCACACCGAUUCUCUCUUCUCAACCUGUUUUUCGAUUCUAAGUUCUAACCCACACCGAUUCUCUCUUAUCUUCACUCUUUCUCUCUUCUCCACCGAUCCGAAACCCACAAACCGAUGGUUACUCGUCGUUCGAAGAAAGGAAGAGGAGGUGGAAAGGCAUCGACUGCAAAGACGCCUCUCCCAAGUCGAUACGCCUUCACUCUGUCGCCGUCUAACCAGUCUCCACCACCGCUUCAACCGGAGAGGGCACCGUCGAUCUCGGUGAGAGAUUAUCCACCACCGACGCAUCUGUUCCAGAACCGCAGCCAACAUCAAAACUCUUCUCCGCCGCUUAAUGCUCCGUCGACUCAACCGCCUCAACCCCGAAGCUCCCAUAACUCCGAACACCGACCAGCCGCAAUCUCUGAAGAAGAAACAUCUCCGCAUGCUGAAGGGACUUACUCGCACUCCCAUGAAGGCCACAACGACAGUGAAGAAGCUCUAUUCAGCCCCGAUCUCGCUCCUGACCAUCAGAGAAUCCUGAACGCUUUGCUUACACAACCAGGAAGGGAAGCUUUCACCACAGUCCUAUCUCCUUUACCGAAGCCUAAUACAACAUGGUAAUGCUUUCAUUUUCAGCUUGUAUUGCUUAGUUUAGUUGUUUACGUUUGAACUUGAUUGGGUGUGGAACUCGGAUUAGGUUUCAAUAUGGUAUGCGACUUCAUUGCUUAGUUUACAAAUUUAGGUUUGGAACUUGAUUUUAGGUGUUGUAUGCGAAUUCGUUGCUUAGAUUAGGUAACAAUUAUGUAUGUUUUGAUAACUGGUAACUUGUUUGUAUCUGAAUUUGUAGGUUUGGUCGGGACAAAUCUAAACUUACCCGAAAGAUCACCAAGAUCUUUACAAACAAGUUCGACGGUCCCUUUUACAGCUGGACCUGUGUGCCUCGAGAGAGACAAGAACGGUACUUCAUUGAAUUUGCGGUAAGUAUUUCAUUCUUAUUCUCAUUUGUUUCUUUGAUGAUUUUCAGUCAUUUUAGGCAUUUGAAGCAAUUGUUUGUUUGAGUCGUUUGAGUUAUUUAUAGCAAUUUUUUGUUUGCUUCAUUUGAAGUUAUUGAGGCAUUUCAUUCUUUGAGUUAGUUGAGGCAUUAGAUUAGAUGUUUCUUAGUUUAGGCUCGCUUAAAAGAUCUUCUACUCAUUUGAUUCAUUUGAGGCAUUUGAGGCAUUUGUGGCAUAAGACUUCAUCGUUUCUUCUCCUUUGAUUAAUUUGACUUGUUUUUUUCACUUGCUAAUACCAUUUUCUAUGUUUCUAAUGUAGAAAACACACACUUGGGAUCCAUUAGUAACCGGUGUUGUCCAAGAAAAGUUUGAGAGCAUUUGUCUCAAUCGGAUGAAGGAUAUGGUGAGCAAGGCAAGGACUACUCGGGAGCAGCCCAACUGGAUUGGCGACACUCUCUGGAAACAAAUGAAUGAAUACUGGAACACUGAAGAAGCCAAGGAAAAGAGUGCCACUACAUCAGCUGCAAGGAUGUCUGAACGUGAUGGUCUUGGACCUCAUGUCCACUUCUCAGGCCAGAAGUCGUACAUACAAAUCCAACAAGAGAUGGUUAGUUCUCUUCCCUUUUCAUUCAUCACUUAUGUCUAUACAUCUUUAAACUCUUUUGUUUGACUUUUUUUUUCAUUGCAGGAAGAAGAACUUGGAAGGCCGGUGAGUCUUGGUGAAGUUUUCAUCAAGACUCAUACAAAAUCGGAUGGCACUUUUGUAGACCGAAAGUCCAAGACGGUGGCUGAAGCGUAUAAGAAGAAACUGGAAGAAAAGAUGGCUGAUCUUGGGGUAGACUCCGAGACUUCAGAUGGUACAUCACCGCCUGUGGUGCUGUCCGUAGAAGAGGAAAAUGAACUCUUUCUUCAGGUAAAUACUUUUUUUACAUUGUCUUUUAUGAUAUGCUUUUAUUCUUUGGAUUUUGACAGUUCUGUUAUUCUAAUACUGUUUUGCAGGCGACUUUCACAAAUGAAAGAGGCAUUCCUUAUGGAAUUGGAAGCCUCUCACAAACGACUGGAAAAAGGAAGUACCCAGGAACCUCGGCAACAUACAAGGGUCUCGAGGAGCAGCUUCAAGAAGCUCAACGCCUAAUAGAAGAACAAGCAGAUCAGAACUCAAGGCGUGAGGCAGAGCUUCUCAAAGUUUCUGCUGAGCAACAAGCCAGAAUCGACAAGUUAGCUCUGGUGGAAAGGUACUUGACUCAAACUGAUCCAGGGUUCUUAGAUUUUGUGGCUGCAAAUAAAGUUUCAAGUAAUCCAAUGCCUUCACCUAAUCACUCUACAACUCCCUAGGUUCUGGUUGGCCUCUGUUUUUCUUUGCUCCUUUAUUCUCUUUAAGAACUUAUCACAAUGAUAUGCUAUGUAUUAUUUGGGUAUUUUGAUCACAAUGUUUUGGAACAAUGUCUAUUUUGGUAUUUUGGAACAAUGCCUAUGUUUAAUGUAAUAUAUAUUUGCUUUUACAAGUUCUUCUAAUUAUUUGAUUUCGAGUUUAGCUUUUUGGUGUAAUGAACAAAUUUGAUCAAAUGAAAAUAGGAAAUAUAAUGGAUUACCAAACCUGAAUCCGUUUGAUCUAUGUAGUCGCAAAUUCGUCACAACUUCGUCGUAAAGUAGUCACGACUUCGUCGGAAAUCAGUCGCUAAACCAUAACAAAACAUCACGUUUUUGGUGAUAUCAGUCUUCAAACAGUCGCUAAAGUGAAAGCAAAGUAGUCGUGAUUCAGUCGUUAUAUACUGCGACUAUUUCGCGACUGAAUUUUCACGACCACUAAGCAGUCGCAAAAUGGUCACAAAGUUCGCAACUAAUUAGCGACUGAAUUUACACGACGUUCCGACGACCGAAUCAAAAGUCGCUAAUUAGUCACAACUGCAGUCACUUAUUAGUCGUUAAAUUAACUACUAAGUGCCGACUAUUUAACGACUGAAUGACGUAGUCGUUAAGUAGUCGCGAAUUAGUCAUUAGUUUGCGACUGAUUAGCGACUCUUUAUUUUAGCGACGUUAAAUUAACGACUAAUUUGUUUAGUCGCUACUCAGUCGCAAAACCACUUAUAGCGACUGAUUUGCGAUUGAUUUGUUCGUCGCUGAAAACCUGUUUUCUUGUAGUGAGGAUUUAAUAAAACUCUCUUUUAUUAAAUUUUAGGAAACUCUCUCAAAACCUAAAGAUCCAAAACACAAAACUCAUAAGUUAUGCCACACAUUGGCAUCUCCUUAUAUAGAUGUUUAGCUACUCCUAAACUUAAUGGAAUUAGAUAACUCCUAAUUUCCUUUUUCCUAACCUUAACACUUUUAGGAAACAUUACUUAAAGAUAAUCUAGAACAAUCUAGAAGCUUGCUCUUCAAGCUUUUCUCAAGCUUACUCCAACAAUCUCCCUCUUAAGCUUGAAGUCUUCUUUGAUCAUCUCUUUAACUCCAAUGAAGUUUCUCAUUUCUUUAAACUUGAUCCUUCCAAGUGCUUUAGUCAGAAUAUCAGCUUUCCUGUGGUUGUGAUCUUGUGCGUGAUAUCCCCACUCUUUACAGUAUCAAAUUAACAAAAGUUACUAUAAAAGACUAGUUUGCAACUUGUACCGUACAAGUUGUACGUCACGUUUAGAGACGUUUGACUCAAUUUCAUAGCUUUCUCGAUUGCUGUGAACUUCUUAAUGUUAACUUGUGAACCAGAAUCAGGUUAUUGAACCUAAACCAAGAUUUAUAUGAACCCGUAAUUGUUAAUAUAGAAGUUGGAAUCGGUCUAAAGUUUUGUUACAGGGAAUAAUUAAUGAAGAGAUCGUUAUUCGUUAACAAUUCUUAUAAUUAAAUAGCGUUGUCACAUCACAUAAAUAAUCUUCUAAUAAAUAAUUAAUACUUGAUUCAAAGCACCACGUCCCAAACAAUCACAUAGUGAUAUAUUAUAAAGGGGAGCCUAGAAGCUUAUUAUAUAAUUCUAUUAUAUAUAUAUAUCUUAUGAAACAUUGUCAAAUAUAUAUAUAUAUAUCUUAUGAAACUUGGGUUCAUGCCUUCUUCUUCUUUGGACCAACACCGUGACGACGACAACUUUUGCGAGACGAGUAAGCCUGUUCCACAGUUAUGGUUGUGUAUGGCGGGGCGAGCUUAUGAGUACCGUUCAUUCCGUUAAUAGCAUCCCUCAUGGAUUUCUCGUCUUUGAAAGUAACAAAUCCAUAUGCCAUUGAAUGAUCUUCAUCAUACUCAGAUGGAUAAACGACCUAUGAAACAAUGACUAACAUAAUUCAGAAUAAUUGUUAACAAAAAAAAAUCAAUACGUCGCCUAACUGGAUUUAUUAAUGAAAAAAAAAUGAAAAAACCAACAUAAGUUCCUAUAACGUCGCCAAACCGAGAAAACACAUUCUCAAGAUCAUCUUCUUCCGUGUCCACGUCUAAAUUGCGAACAUAGCACUUGUAUUCAACAUCUUCGGACGCCAUUUUUGAAAGAUGCAGAUUGAUGAGGACAAUUUAUAUAAAAGAUUAUUUAUGUGGUUAUAAAUGCUAUCGAAUCUAAAACUUUUAGAAACAAGCGUCUUUUUUCUUUCCUUGAAACUAGUUUUCCCUAGUUCCCAAACUUUCUAGAUAUUUUAUCUAAAUCUCAGUGUUUUUUUUUCCGGUACAACUAAAAUGUGAAAACCAUUACUAGUAAAUUGAUUUUAUUGGAAAGUAGGAGUAUUUGUUUCCAAUAAAAUUCAAUUUGUUUUCUUGCUUAAGCUGUCAGUUUCAGUUUAUACUAUUUUUUACCUACCACAACAAUUCAAUAAUAUCACUCAAUUUGCUUAUGAAAUGCACUAUUGAUAUGAUGAUGAAUACAAAAUUCUAACGAAACUCUUGUUGAAAUGCAUCUUUACAUUAUAAAGGUGCACUAAGCUACUAACGAAACUCUUGUCUCACUAUUGUUACUUUUUUCUGUUAAUUUGCAUUUGGAUAUAUAAUUCCUCUGGACAUCUGCAAGUGAGCACAGUUAGAUAAACACAAAACGCUAAUGUGCUUCUACUAUAUUUAAAUCUUGGUUUAGAGAUGAGUAGUUACUUUGGGAGCGAAACAAACCGGUUUAGUUAUAACCUGUGGUUGUGACUAGGCCUGAAUUUUUCGGGAAUUAGAACGGGAAUUGACAGGUAAAGGAUGGGAAUUGAAAUUUCGGGAAUCUAAAUAUAUUACCCAAAAUAUUCCCACAAAAUAACGAGAGGGAAAUUUACGGGUAUGGGAUGGAAAUGGGAAAUUCGAAAAUCAAAACAUACUAUCCAUACAAUCCCAAAAUAAAAUAUAAUCAGGAAAAGAACAGGAAAGGAACAGGAAAGGGACGGGAAAAAUUUCGGAUAAUUCGGAUAAUUAAACUAAAAUCAAUUUUGUUUUUUUUUUUUAAAUUAUUAUUUGUUAAUAAAUUGGAAAAAUCAUUAUUUAUUAUAAAAAAAAUUUCAGUUAACCAAAAUCUCUAAAAUUUCACUUUAUAUAAUUACCCAACGGGAAGUUCGGGUAAUCCCAUUCCCGUCCCUACCCUUUUCCUUACCCAUUCAAAUAUUAUUUUCAAACCCAAAUGGGAAAUUACAAUUUCCCUUUUUCGAAAAGUUUGGGAAUUUCGGGACGGAUACGUUUCGGGACGGGUUACCCUUCCCGAAAAAUUCAGGCUUAGUUGUGACCUUGUGCGUAAUAUAGAUACUCACUUUUUACAGUAUCAAAUUAACAAAAAUUAUACUAAAAGCCUAGUUUGCAACUAAUAUCGACUUUGGCUCAAGAACAGGAUUUAAUAAAACUCUCUUUUAUUAAAUUUUAGGAAACUCUCUCAAAACCUAAAGAUCCAAAACACAAAACUCAUAAGUUAUGCCACACAUUGGCAUCUCCUUAUAUAGAUGUUUAGCUACUCCUAAACUUAAUGGAAUUAGAUAACUCCUAAUUUCCUUUUUCCUAACCUUAACACUUUUAGGAAACAUUACUUAAAGAUAAUCUAGAACAAUCUAGAAGCUUGCUCUUCAAGCUUCUCUCAAGCUUACUCCAACAAUCUCCCUCUUAAGCUUGAAGUCUUCUUUGAUCAUCUCUUUAACUCCAGUGAAGUUUCUCAUUUCUUUAAACUUGAUCCUUCCAAGUGCUUUAGUCAGAAUAUCAGCUUUCUGUUCUGUUUCCGGAACAUGCUCAACCAAUAUUUGCUCAUUCUCGACACACUCUCUAAUGAAAUGAUAUCUUUUGUGUAUGUGUUUACUUCUGCCAUGAAACAUUGGAUUCUUUGUCAAUGCAAUUGCAGACCUGUUGUCAAUUCGAACCAAAGCUCUUUCACAUCCUGAUCCAAUGACUUCACCGAGUAACUCCUGCAGCCAAAUCGCUUGUUUUGCAGCUUCUGUAGCUGCCAUAAACUCAGCUUCACAAGAAGAUAAUGCCACUAUCUCUUGCUUUUGAGAACACCAGGUUAUUGGACAUUCAUUGAGAUAAAAGAUAUGACCAGAAGUACUCUUGCCAUCAUCCAAAUCAACAUUGUGACUACUGUCACUGUAUCCGAUCAAACCAGAUAAACUGCUUUUCGAAAACUUCAAUCCAUAACUCAAAGUUCCUCGAAGAUACCUUAGUACUUGUUUGAGUGCUAUUCCAUGAGAUUCUUUAGGCUCCUGCAUGUAUCGACUUAGCACUCCAACAGCAUAAGAAAGAUCAGGUCGCGUAUGAAGCAAGUAUCGAAGACAGCCUAUAUUUCUCCUAUACUUCUUCUCAUCGAUUGCUCGUUCUUCUUGUGCUUUGCAUAGCUUUAAACCAGAGUCCAUUGGAACGUGUACAGCAUUACAUUCAUCCAAGCCAUUCUCUUCGAGAAUUCUUCUUGCAUAUCUCUCUUGAUUUAAUGUGAUGCAUCCUCUUUGUUGUCCUACUUCGAUCCCAAGAUAGUAGGUUAACCUUCCAAGGUCACUCAUCUCAAAUCGUUCUGCCAUGCGCCUUUUAAACUCAAGUAUCAGCUCCAAGCUUGAACCUGUGACUAGUAAAUCGUCCACAUAUACCGCCACAAGCAAAAGAAACCCCUUUUCUUCUCUUCGGUACAGUGAAGGUUCCUUUGAACACUUGCUAAACUUCAAUUCAACAAGAAUUUGAUUUAACUUGUUGUUCCAAGCCCUUGGUGCCUGUUUCAGUCCAUAAAGAGCCUUGUGUAGUUUAUACACCUUAUCUUCACUUCCUUUGAUUUCAAAUCCCUCAGGUUGAUGAACAUACACUUCUUCUUUCAGCUCGCCAUGUAAGAAGGCUGUUUUUACAUCAAGAUGAUGUACUUCCCAUUCACUUGAAGCGGCUAGAGCAAUAAUAAAUCGAAUGGUUUCUAUGCGUGCCACUGGAGCAAAUACUUCGUCGAAAUCAAUACCAUAUCUCUGCACAUAACCCUUUGCCACAAGUCUUGAUUUGUAUUUGUUUAUGCUUCCAUCAGAGUUAUGUUUGAUUUUAAAUACCCAUUUAAGUCCAAUGGCUUUUGCUCCUUUAGGAAGAUUGACCAAAGUCCAAGUCUUGUUCUUGUUGAUCGAUGCAAUCUCUUCUUCACAUGCGUUUCUCCAUACUUUUAGGGAUUUCGCUUCAUUAAAAUCCCAUGGUUCUUCAUUCAUGGCUAACAAUAGGCGUUCACUCUCUAAUUCUGCAAUCAUUACAAAAUCAUCGAAGUGACCUGGUUGCUUGCGAAGUCGUGUUGAUCUUCUAAGUGCCGGUUGGUCUUGCACUUGUUCUUCUGUAGUAUUGUCUUCGGUUUCAAGGUUAAUACCAUCGGAAGCAUUGUUGUCUUCGACAUUAUCUCCAUCAUUCGUGUACUGUUCACUUUCGUCCUCUGUUUCCUCUGUUUCAUUUGUUCCAUUGUUUUGCUUUCCUCCUAAGACGAGAGUGAAUGUUCUGAUGCCACUGUUUAACUCGUUUACUGUGUUAUUCCACUUCCAGCUCUUUGUUUCGUCAAAGAUCACGUCGCGACUAACAAUAAUUCUUCUACUCUUUGGUUCCAAUAAUCGGUAGGCCUUUGAUCCUGGUUCAGUUCCCAGAUGGAUGAGAAUCUGUGAUCUAUCAUCGAGUUUUUUCAAAUGUGGAGAUGUGAUUUUUGCAUAUCCAAUACACCCGAAAACUCGCAGAUGCUCAAUGUUCGGUUUUCUUCUCUUGAAUGCUUCAUAUGGGGUUUGCUUCUCCAAACUCUUUGUAGCCACUCGAUUGAUAAGAUAUGUUGCAUGUCUCACAGCCUCCCCCCAAAGGUAGUUAGGAAUAUUCAUAUGUUUCAUGAUACUCCUAGUCAUCUCCAUAAGAGUUCUGUUCCUUUUUUCUACUACUCCAUUUUGUUGAGGAGAGUAGGGAGCGGUCAAGUGUCUUUUGAUGCCUGCAUUAUCACAAAACUCCUGGAAUUCUUGAGACACGAACUCACCUCCUCUGUCCGUUCUCAAGGUUUUAAUUAGUCGACCAGUUUCUUGCUCAACAACUGCUUUAAACCCUUUGAAUCGGCUGAAAGCUUCACUCUUUUCUUUGAGAAGAAGAGACCACAUAUACCUAGAAUAGUCAUCAAUUAACACGAAAACAUAUCGGUUUUGUGCUGCUGUUGCAGGUGCAAUCGGUCCACAAAGGUCACCAUGAACGAGUUCAAGUGGUUCUGAUGCUCGAUAUGUUGUUGAUUGUGGGAAAGGCUUUCUCAUCUGCUUUCCGAGCAUACAUGCGGAGCAGGUAUCCUUUUCUACAAAAAAGUUUGGUAUUCCUUUGACAAGAUCCUUCUUGAUCAUUGUCUUCAUGGUCUCUAUACCAACAUGUCCUAGCCUCGCAUGCCAUUUAACAGAAUCACUUAUAGCCAUGAUUUGCAGACACUUCGCUUUCUCCACCUCCAUGUGAACUUUGUAGAGUCUAUUCCUUGAUCUGUUCGCUUUGACUAGAAGUUUUCCAUCGCUGCCAUAUAACAUGAGAUGGUUCUUUCUCAUACGAAUAUCGCACCCUGAUUCCGUAGCCUGUCCUAAACUGAUAAUAACUGAUAAUGUUGCUUCGAAGGUCAGGUAUAAAAUAGACAUCUGCUAAGAUUUUACGUUCACCAUCCUUGCUUACGAAUAGUGUAGACCCUUUGCCUUUUAUGUCGAUGCGAGAAUCAUCCCCAAAUCGCAAUUUUCCUGUAAUAUUCUCAUCGAUCUUUGUGAAGAAGCUUCGAUUUCCUGUCAUGUGGUUACUAGCACCAUUGUCUAGAUACCACACAUCGUCUUCAGCCGGAGAUGACUCAAAGUUAUUUGGUUUGACGUUUCUCUCGUUGAGAAACACAACCUCGUGCAUCAUUAGUUUUUCUCCUUCAUGUGUUUCUUCUUCAUUGUCAUUAUCUUCUCUGGUUUCUUGCAGUUUUAACAGUCUAUCAGGGCAGUGUGACGCGUAGUGACCUGUUUGAUCACACCGAUAACAGGUGACUUUGGACAUAUCUCUUGCCUCGUUGGUCCUACCACGUCCUCUUCCUCUGCUGUAAAACCGUCCUCCACGACCUCUGCCUCUGUUUUCACCGGUGUAGCCUCGGUUUGAUUGACUUUCGCUAUUCGCAUACAUUAAUUUGUUCGAAUCUUCUUGGGUUUCCUCGUCUUCUCCUUGGAUACGUUCCUCGUACGCUUUUAAACGCCUUGUGAUAUCUUCGAAGGUAGUAUUGUUGAGAUCCAAUACUUGUUCGAGAGAUGCCACAAUGUGUAUGUAUCGUUUCCUUGGAAGACUCUUCAGAAACUUUCGAACAAGCUUUGAUUCCUCGAUAUUAGUUCCCAAAGCCGCAGAUUUUGAGCAGAUCUCCGAUAGUUUUCCGCUGAAGUCAUCAAUUGUUUCUGUAUCCUUCAUCUUUAGUUUGUCAAACUCAGCCAUUGACAUCUGCAAUCGAGCUUCCCGGACUCUCUCGGCUCCUACGUUUUUGGCUUUGAUCGCAUCCCACACCUUCUUUGCUGUUGCUAAUUCUCCGAUUUGUAGUAUAGCUGUUUCGGGCAUGGACUGAAAGAUUAAGGCCAUCGCUACAUCGUUUUUCUCGGCAUCGGUCAGACUCUGUUUCUACGACUUCCCAUACUUUAUGAACUCUGAGUAAUAUCCGCAUUCUCAUCGCCCAUACGGUAUAAUUGGUCGAGUUCAGCAUCGGACAUUGGAUGGUGGACGUACUCAGCUCUUUAGGUCGCGUGACAGGAACAAUAUCUCCCAUAGCUUCGGUUUUAAUGAUCUUCGUAUUUGACUUGUUCGGAUCGAUAGAUUAGAGGCUCUGAUACCAAAUAAUAUCGACUUUGGCUCAAGAACAGGAUUUAAUAAAACUCUCUUUUAUUAAAUUUUAGGAAACUCUCUCAAAACCUAAAGAUCCAAAACACAAAACUCAUAAGUUAUGCCACACAUUGGCAUCUCCUUAUAUAGAUGUUUAGUUACUCCUAAAUUUAAUAGAAUUAGAUAACUCCUAAUUUCCUUUUUCUUAACCUUAACACUUUUAGGAAACAUUACUUAAAGAUAAUCUAGAACAAUCUAGAAGCUUGCUCUUCAAGCUUCUAGAAAGCUUACUCCAACAGCAACAUGUACGUCACGUUGAGAGACGUUUGACUCAAUUCAUAGCUUUCUCGAUUGCUGUGAACUUCUUAAUGUUAACUUGUGAACCAGAAUCAGCUGAAGAGGUCGGUAAUUGAACGUAAACCAAUAUUUAUAUCAUGAACCGGUAAUUGUUAAUAUUGAAGUUCGAAUCGGUCUAAAGUUUUACUAGAGGGGAUUAGGAAAAACGGUCUAUUCCCCCAUGAAUUUUAUGUUUUCUAAAAAUCAAUACACUAACUAUUGAACUAUAUUUAUAACUAUAUGAAAUAUUAAAAUGCGGCCAAUUUCAUCAAAACCGUAAACAAUAUUAAUUUUCUGUCUACAAUUAAUGACGUAGCAGACACGUGGCAUACCAGUUUAAUAUAUAAUUUGAUCAAUUUUUUUUUUAAGUGCGUCGUUUUGAUAUUUCUUAAAAAAUGCAUUUCUUAAGAAUCUAACACACAAGUAAGGGUUUAGUGAGGGCUAGGGAUCGUUGAGUCAAUUUAUCAGUGAACAAUGCGACUUAAUAUAUGAUUGUGUGUAGAGAACAAUGCGACUUAUGAAGUUAUCAAUGAGGGCUAGGGAUCGUUGAGUCAAUUUAUAGAAAAUGUGUGAGGUUGAUUAUUUAUGCAUAUGGUCAAUGCAACACGUCGAAUCUAUUAAAUUUUGAUACAAGUUUUUGUUUUUUUUUGGGGAACUACUUUCCUAACUUUAGACAAUAUUUGAUCUUUAGAAUAGUUUCAAGAAAAAUUCAUACGCAAAUUUCAAAGUGAAUUUCGUUUACCAAUUGUUUUGUUUUUUAUCGUUGUUUUUUUUUUUGGUAAAAGGGUGGAAAAAUUGCAAGAAACAAAUUAUCUUGGCAACAAAACAAAAUGAUGAACAUUUUUUUUAACGAAGUUUCUGAAUCCUCCCUUAGUUUAUGAAAUACACAAGAAAGCAUUUUAUUUUUUCUUUUUCAAAAAAUCAAAGGAAACUCGCUUUUACGUUAAUUUCAAAGUGAAUUUCGUUUACCAACUGUAUUUUUUUGGCUAAUAUCGUUGUGUUUUUUUGGUAAAAAGGUGGAAAAAUUACAAGAAACAAAUGAUUUUGGAAACAAAAAUGAUGAACAUUUUUUCUUAACGAAGUUUCUGACCCUUAGUUUAUAAAAUACACACGAGAGCACUUCUAUUCUAUUAAAACAGAAGCACAUUUAGUGCUUGCAUCCAAACACUCUCAAAGUUUUUUUAUAAUAUUUUACAUUAUUUUUAUAUUUAAUUACCAAAAACUAGUUAAUAAUUUAGAUAUUUUUAGAUUUUCCAAAAUCUAAGUCAUCUUUAAUUUAAAUUUCAAAUUAUUAGAAAUUUAAUUAAAUUUAGUUACAAAAAUUUGCAUUAAAUUUAAUUUAAAUUCAAAAAAUUCAAAAAAAUAUAAUUAAAUUUUAUUACGAAAAUUUAGAUAUACUUUAGAAUUUCUUAAAUACAGGAAAGGUUAAAUUUAAAAUUUUAAAUUUAAAUAAUAUAUUUAUAAAAAUGCAUAGUAAAUAAAUAUUUUAUCGUAUUUUAUCAUAAACAAUCGGUCUAAAAUAUCAAAUAUUUGAGAUUAAUAAAUAUUUAUAUUAUACAAUAAUAUGAUCGAGCUGAUUAGAGUUAUAUAUAUAUAUAAGGUCUAUAUGUUAAUUUAUUAAAACAUGUAAGAUAUUAAGAUGAUUUGAGACAAUUAAACUAACAGGUUAGCACGUUUAUAUAUAUUUUUUUAAAUAGCACAAAUAGUAAAUAAAUAUCUUAUUAUAUUUUUUCAUAAUCAAUUGGUCCAAAUAUUCCAUAUUAGUGAAUAUUUAUAGGAUUAUACAAUUAUAAUUAUAGUCUUAUACAAGUUAGUUUGUCAAAACAUAUAAAAUAUUAAAAAUGAUUUAAGAUAACUAAACGGAUGAAUUAGCAAAUUCAUAGAUAUAUAGAUUGUUUAUGUGUAAAUCUAAAUUCACAUAAUAACAAAGUUUAUAAUUAUGUAUUCUACUAAUAUACAAAUUUUACUGUUUAAAAUUAAAAUAUGAUAAGAAUUUUUUUAUUUAAAAAAAUAAAUAAUAAAAAUAAGUUAUAUCUAAACAAAAAAGAUAAAUACAACUUAUAUUAGAAAUAAAAAAUAAAAAAUUCCCGACGAAUGCACGGGAUUAAAAUCUAGUUUUUUAAUUAAAAAAUCAAAGUAGGCUCGCUUUUCCGUUAAUUCUCUGCUAACUGACUUUACACGGCGGCGAUGGCCGUUACCUCUGAAACUCCCGACGGCUCUAACGGCGGCGAUCCAAACAAGAAACCAGAAGACGUCGAGAAAGAAGAGGAAGAAGAAGAGAAUCAAAAGGAGAAACCUGAAGACGAAGAAGAAGAAGAAAUACAGUAUCGCUCGAUUUCUUUCCCAAAUCUUCCACACGAUCUCACCGAACUUUGCGUCGCACUCCUCCGGAGAUGCAAUUACCCGAGCCUAUCCCUCAUCUCCAAGGGCUUUCGCACUCUUGCCGCUUCGCCGAGACUCUACGACGCUCGCUCGCGACUCGGCGUCACCGAAUGCGUUCUUUACGCCUCCAUCGGAUUCCCUACUUCCUCAAGCCCGAGCUGGUACAUUCUCCGCCGUGACGAGAUCUCCUUGCGACUGUGCAGAAUCGACAAACUCCCGAUUCAUUGGGGAUCUGCCGUCGUCACAAUCGGACCGACGAUGUACGUAAUCGGAGGAAGAUCCGACGGGAAACCCACAUCGGAUGUGACUCUAAUCGAUUGCAGAUUCCACACAUGAAAAACAAAUGAUCCCUCGUUUCAAUUGGUUCACUGCAGAAGACACAACUGGUGGUUGCAUUCUGGUUCCAGUUUUUGAUUCUGUCCCCUGUGGCUAAUCUGUUCUUGAUCGCUAGCCAGAGCAUAAAUGAGUACUUGGGAGUAGCGUGGGGAAACCAAACUCCUCUGCACCAAGGCACGAUCUGUCUCCCUGUUUUUUUGGCUUCAAACCUCGGUUUAUACUGUCCAUUUUUACCCUUCCACUGUGUCUCGUCUCGAUCCUUGGGUGAUUUUUCUCAAUCUCAACUGCUCUAUCUCUGUUUCGAUCUCGUUAAGUAGGCCCUGGCGGUGUCUCCGCCUUCUUGGUCUGUCAAGAACCUCAGCCAUCGUCGCAUGUUUUGAAAAUCCCAGGUCAAUGAUGCCUCGUUCCCCAACUAGCUCCAGCAGACAUCCUUUACUGCUCCAUGAGUCAUACCAGAAAGACGUAUGUGUUCCAUUUUUUACCUCCACUCGGUAGAAGUUUUUUGCGAGGGUUCUGUACUUAAGAAGCUUCUUCCACAUCCAGGAGCCCAUUGAUGUUGUAUCUUUUAUUGCCCAGAAAGACCCUUCCCGUAUAAGCUGCGCCUGAAUCCACUGUACCCAUAAAGAGCUCGGGGAUGACAUAAUCCUCCAAAUAAGCUUUAGACAGCAAACUUUAUUUGCAACCUCAAUCGAGAUCUCAAGCAGGAUCCUUUUUCCCAGGGAAGGUGUUUGGGCACGAAGGAACGAUGGUGAAGAAUUGAAGAGUUUGUGGAAAGCAUCGUCUUGUGUGGUUGAUGAUAAGCUGUAUUCGAUCGAUCCUUUGUGUAGUCUUGGACAUCCAGUAGUCGUGUAUGAUCCAACGGAGAGGACUUGGAGAUCUGUGAGAGGUGUCUAUGGUUUUCCUACUAAUAUCUCUGAUUAUGACUCUAAAAUGGCAAAUCUUGGUGGGAAGCUGGUGGUUUUGGCUGGUAAGAGCCCGUUGUUUAGGUCUGAUCAUCACGGGGAAGAAGAGAUUUGGUGCUUAGAGAUCCAUUUGGAAAGACGUCAAGAUGGUGAGAUUUGGGGGAAUGUCGAAUCAAUCAAGCGUGUGCUUACAUCAAUCGAGUCGCCUUACAUUGAGCAUUGUCGAACUUUUACCCUUUGAUGAUGCUUGGGAUUGGUGUUCUUGCAGGUAUGUAUGUUUAUGUGAUAAAGUUAUGGCAUUUUCGUUACCCUCUCAAAGGCUUUACUUAUAGGACAUUCAUGAACUUGCAGGUGAAUCAAAGUGACUCAGAAGCUGUAUCUGACACCUCAAGAGUAACUCUUACUUCUUUACCUCUCUGCACAGUGUAUAUACUCUUUACAGAAUUAGCCUUGAGUAGAUUUCUUAAGCUGUAAAGAAGAUAGGUUUAUUCUUUUAGCUGCCUUUAUACAAAAAUUCUUACGAAAUUUGUUGUUGAAUUGCAUCUCUGCACAGUGUAGAUACUCUUACAGAAUUAGCCUUGAGUAGAUUUCUUGAGCUGUACAGAAGGUAGGCUAUUCUUGUAGCUGCCUUUAUAGAAAAAUUCUUACGAAAUUGUUGAAAUGCAUCUUUAGUUAGCUAUGUCUUUAGUUAGCUAUCAUUUUGCUAUCUUUUUUUUUUGUAUGUUCUGCAAGUCAUAUUCAAGAUAUAGCAGAAAUCAAACCUGCUUCUACUAGAAGAGCAAUGUGAAAUCGUGGUUGAGAUAAGAAGCAUAACAAAUUAAUUUAGUUAACCGGUGGUUUUGACUUUAUGGGUAACUACAAUAUCAAAUUGAGGAAAUACAAAGACCUGAAGCGUACAUAGAAUGUUCAAUGUGGAGAGAAUAUUACCUUUAUAGGUACCAAAACCCAAUUUACUUAUACCAUUUGAGAAAUAUGAAAUUCUGGUUUAGAGAUGAAGCAAAACGAACGGUUUAGCUAUACAUUAUAGAUAACUACAAGUCUAAAAUAGAAAAUAUCAAGUUGACAAUAUACAAAGACUAGUCAAAACACAACCAUCCAAAACUUUGAAUUUAACAUUUGUUGACACCAUUCGAAGGAAAGAUACAGGACAAAUUAGGGUUUCUAAAUAGAAAACAGAGAGAUUUGUGACUUGUGAGUAACGUUAAGAGACGUUUGGUUGCUAGAGUUAUAGAUUUCCUGUUCUUCUGAGUUUAACAAGACCCAUUGUGCUUCUACUAUAUAUGAAAUCUUGGUUCAGUUAUGUGAAGAUGUUACGUGAGCAAAACAAACUAAGUUGCAACUCAAAAUGUAUUUAACUGUAUGCUGAUUUUACAAGAAAAGUUUCAAAUAAUACUUUUGCCAAGAAAUGAAGAAAUGCCACUUUUUUUUGUUAUGAUAAGAAAAUGGAAACAAGUAAAAUUGCUUAUAUAUCGUGGUAUAUUUUUUCUUGUUAUAGUUUUGAUUUGCUUAAUUUUGGUUGCAAAUUGAAGAAUUUUAAUUGUAAUAGUAAUCUUUUUACAAAGGAAGAAACCACAAUUUAGAAUUAAGUUAGAUUUUUUGUCACGUGAGUGUCCAAUCAGGUUUUUAAAACUACUAUUUUAUCUCUCGGUUUAUGCAAAAUGACUAUUUGAAGUUUUAUUUGGUAAAUUAGGUCUAUUUUUUGCCGCCAUCUUUAUUUUUUUUUCCGUCAUCUUUUAGUCGAUAAUUAAAAACAAAACAGAGCAAUUAAUGACUGAAGAGUAUAUCUAUCUACUAAUCAGUCAUCAGUAAGUAGUAGACACAAGACAAGAAAAUCGAAUUAGGCCAUCAUAAUCUCUGAAACUUCCGACGACUGAUGGCGAUGGUUGUAAUCUCCGAGAUUACCGACGAUUCUAACGGCGGCGAUCCAAAAUACAAUAUAAGUUAUGAGAAGACAAGCUUAAAAAAUAGCCAUCAAUGAGGUCUGGUAGUAAGUUUAUUAGACCUAUUAUUAUGUCAGUCAAAAGUGCUAAACAAUUUUUUAUAACUCUAACGAAAUACCGUUCCUUCGUAUAUGAGAAGACAAGCUUAAAAAAUACCCACCAAUGAAGUCUGCUACUAAGUCUGUUAUACCUGUUAUUAUAUCAGUCAAAAGUAUUAAAAAAUUGUUUAGAGGUCUAAUGAAAUAUAUUCUAAGUAACAAAACAUCGCCAAUAAAGGGUUUGGUAUCAAUGUUAUACAUGUUAUACAUGUUAUUAAUCUGUUUAGCAUACUAAAUUUUUGAUUAGAUUGGUUAAUAUCUAUUAGGGCCCUAACUCUGACUUUUUAGAGGAUAAUAAUAAAAAUACACCAGUACAAAGUAAUUGGUAACAGUUUGGAGACCCAUAAAAGACAACAAUUUGCCACAACAAAGAUAGAGUAGAGUGUCUUGCAAUACCAAGUAACAUGAAAAAAAGGGUUAUCGGACGAGCACAUGAAAUCCUCAGAGUGGUUCAGCGAAUUCGUCAAAGAAUUUCAUAGCCAAUACUUGACUCGCGUUGACAAGUUCUUCUGGUGUCAUCGACUUGCAUCUCUCCACACCCCCAAUACAAUGCAUCAUUGCCAAAAGCACAGCGGAUACUCCAGAAUCAGUACAUAUGGGUUAUGUGGAAUCCUUUUGGCUCUUUGUAUCGAGAACACCUUAUACUCGAUUGGACGUUUGUAACCCGUUAACUUUUUCAAGAUGAACGACAACAUCUGAGCUAGAGGUGUAAACUCUUUUUUUGUGGCCGCCUCUGUCACAAGUUCGGCUUGAGUCAUCCCACCCUUGAACAUCUCCUUCCUGAAUUGAAAACCUUCACCAAUAAGUUGAACCACAUAAUCCACUUUGGGAUCGUCGGGAGUAAUACUGAAAACAUCAACCUGUAAAUAUAUUACACGGUUAACAUAAUGCUUAGAUAAGGGAGUCGUACAAAACAGAUAACCGAACUGUUAGAUGGCAGUAAAAAUUGUUAGCGGUUACAUAUGCGAGUCGUUUAAACAGCUAACAGAAUUGUUACAUGGCAAUAAAGUUGUUAGCUGUUACAUAUGACAUUCCUUUUAAACAGAUAACGGGAAUGUUAGAUGGGUAUCAAAGUUGUUAGCUGUUACAUGUGCAUCAACUUUAAAACAUAUAACGGGAUUGUUAGAUGGGUAUCAAAUUUGUUAGCAUUUAAAUGUGCCACCCCUUUAAACAGGUAACAGAAUUGUUAGAUGGGAAUCAAAGUUGUUAGUUGUUACUUACUUUACAUUCUUCAUCUACUUCCCUCGCAUGGCCGGGACUGAGCCCAAGUUUCGAAACCUCCGAUCUGGGGUUUGUCUUAGAUGUAAUCUGAUCUGGGUCAAUCGUUGUGUCCUGAUCUAACAAGCCCUUACCACCUCCUCCCGAUUGAACGGCAUCGUCAAUGUCAACAUCUUCGUCUUCACCACCUUCAGAAUCAAAAGAAUCAGAAGAUUCAUUCACUUGAACAACCUCCGUAAGCGCCGGAAUGGCCUCCACCAGAAUUAACUGAAUAUCAUGAAAAAAAUCUUUUACUGCGACGGUGCUUUGUGCAAGGGCAACCUCAUAUUUGGUUUUUAUGUUAGCGAUUAGCAUCUCGAAUCCAAGUCUACCCCAUGGAUAUGCGAAGAAAUCUUCCAAAUCUCUGAUUAACUCGACAUGGUCAUACACGAUUUUCGACCGGUGGUUGGUAGGGCAGAGAACAGCGCCGGUAAUAGCAGGGCAAGUGUACUUCAAACGAGUAGUCCAGUCGACAACGGUUUUCUUCUUAAGCAUCUUGGUUGCCAAAUCAACUUUGAGAAGUCUGGUGAUUAUGUUAUGCCCGAAACUCCCAGUAACCGUCGCCAGUGGCGAUGAGUUUCCCGAAAGGCGAUUUUCGUAAGUAGUUUCUCUCCUCCUCGUCAAGAGCAUCGAGAAUGUUACUGAUGGUAUUCGCUUUAUGAUAGGAGUUCACCCUCUCGCCGGUGGGUUCGUCGCCGGCGGCAAAAUUUCUGGUCGGGAGUUCUUGAAGCGCCAUUAGUGACCAGAUGCAAGUGGGGAAAAAACGUCUCUGCAUUAGGAAGUUCCAGAGAUGAAUUGUUGUAAAUAUCUUCAAUUUGAAAUACUCUUUUCAAAUUUUUAAGUAGCAUUAUUACACUAAAGUCCUAGGGGUUCUUUUACCUGUAGCCUAUAACCGUUAGAGUUAUAGGGAGUUUUUUGUAUUAAUGAAAAUAUGUAAAUAGGUGUAUAACGUAUAAUUUUAUAUGUUUGCAAAUACGAUCGUAUUCUAUGUUACAGCAUGCAAAUUCUCUAAAUUAAAUUAUAUUAUAAAUUACAUUUAUUGUCGCAAACAUUAUCAUACCGAAACUUCUUAGUUACUUAAACCAUAACUUACAUGUUAUCGUUGCAUGGCAAUUAUUGAUCUGAUGUAGAACAAAAAGCUUUUUACUUAAUCGAUAAUACUAUCGCUAUUGCAUAUGUUUUGUUUCUGAGUGCUUGUUUUCUCAAUAUUUUUUUCCCUCGGUAGCAAUCAUGGCUGCUGAAAAUAAUGAGAUGAAGAAUGAGGAAGAAGUAAGUUGGGUUUUUGUUCUCUUAAGGGAAAAAGGAUCCUCUUUCUUAAAUAUUAAGUUACCCAUAUACUUUUGAGGAUAAAUCAUGAUUGUAUGGUUUUUCUUUUUUGGUCAUCCUUAGCUCCCACCCUUUGAUCCAACCAAGAAGAAGAAAGUUGUCAUUCAGGAUCUUGUCAAGGACUCAACAGUCACAUACGGAGAAAUAUGAUUCAUUGCCUGGUAUGUUGAAGAGAGUGUUUAAAUUAGAUGUUUUGUGUCUUUCUAAAAAAAUUUUGAACUCUAUAAGCCUGUGUUUUGCUGAUUAUGUGCCUAUGUGUUUAGAUGGUAUUUUUUAAUUCCUUUUUUGUGCUAAGGAUGUGGAAGUUAGAUUACAUGAAUAGAAAUGGAAUCCUUUAUCAUUGUUCUCACCUCAUCUUCUACUCUCUCUGAAUGUGGAAGUUAUAGCUAUAUUGACUUAAAAAUGAGUAGGUAGUUGUAAAGUUUAUGCCUGAAUGAUUCUGAGAAGAACAAGAAUGGAACUGCAGAUCAUUCUAUGUGGAGAAACUAUGAUGACCUGAACAAGAACUUCUCCUCAAACCAUUCAUUGUCUAAUGUCUCUUGAGUGCAUCAAAAUUGGCUGGCCAAUGCGUCUUGACCAUGAUUUGUUCUGUAUAGAAUCGUUAGAUACCAGCAAACCACAGAGAUGGCAAGGAAUACUUAGAUUUCGCAAGCAGAAUAAGAAAACCGAGGAAGAAAUGGAGGAUGACGUAGAACUUGAGGUACAUACUCUGUUUUUGUCGUCUAUACAGCAUUGGGUCUAUACACUGUUUUUGUUACAGUGUAAGUAUAGUCUCAUUUAUACGAGAUUUUGGAUCAAAUGGACAUCUUUCACAUAAAUGGAUCAUGUGGCAUCUUCUCAUCUUUGCUUUCUUUGAUUUAUUUUUUCCCUUUAGAUUUCUAAAUUCGGAGAUAGUGUUCUUUCAUAUUCUGUUGUUGUUUAUGCGUUGUUCGUUGUUCUUAUAACUGAUCAAAGAGAUAAUAUUUUUUUGAUAAUAUUUUUUUAGCUGUCUUAUAUUUGUUCCGUGUAUACAUUGUUCCUGCUCUAGUGAGCUAUAUAUUUGUUUCCUGGUUCUCAUGUCUGUGGUUUUGUAUCUUUGCGUUUAUUUCGUUCUGUUUUUAUCUCCUUGCGAUUGUUUUGUUAUUAUAUUUGUUCAUGUGGCAUCGUCUCCCAUAUUUCCCUUCUGUUUGACGUUUAUCUCUCUCCUUCUUUUUAAAAUAUAACCUAUUUUUUGUGUAAUAUUGUCUUUUACAGUUGUGUUGUUGUGCUUUUAUGGGUCAGAUAUUUCCAGAUUCUGAUCCUAAAUGGAAAGAAGCGCAGAUCCUUCAGUUGUGAACCUAAAAGCUAAAACUCACGAGAAAGUUGAUAGCCUUGAAGAAUAACAGAAGCAUUGCAGCUCAUGAAGAAGUGAGUCAAUUUUAUCACAUUCCUUAAAUGUAUCAAUCUUCUUAAGAAAACACUUUUUAAUGUAAUCCCUUUAGACUAGGUUUAUUAAUACAUUCUUAGAAAUAGUGAAAAUCGAAUCAUGUGAUGACGAUACAUUGAAAUGGAAAAAUGAUUCUGGUUUCUGUCAGUUUUAAAUAAAACUUGAAAUUAUGACUUUUUUAGCUGUUUGGAUUGGUAACUUCUAGAAAUGGAUACCGCCAGUAACACCUGAGAUACAUUAGUUUUUUUUUUUGAAAAAAUGUUAAAUUAAAACAAAUUAUAAUUGGACACUUGAGAUCCAUUAGUUAUUACUUAUAGAAGUAUUUUAGACGAUUUAGUGAUUAUAAUUGAGUUAUCAAGGACUUCUUUUCAUACGUAAAACUGAGCUUCUUGUCAUACUUAAAACUGUAUCCUAGAAGAAUAUGAAUUUAGAGAGAAGAAAAAUGACAAAGGCAAUGAAGAAGGAAAAGAAAAAAAAAAGCAUAUAAAGAAAAAGAAAACUUGGAAGAAGAAGAAGAAGUUUGAGAAGAUGAUGAUGGAGAAGAAGAAAAAUCCAAAAAAGAAGAAAACUGAAAGAUAAAAAAGAAAAAAAGAAGAUCAAGACACAACAUAUAGAAGAAGUAGAAGUCGGUAACUUUCAUGAAGAUGAAAUAAAAAGAUGAAAAAUAAGAAAAACGAAAGAUGUAUGAGAGGAAGAAGAAAUAGAAAAAAUAGAAGUUGAAAACAAUAAGAUGGAAGAAAGAAAAGAAGUGAAAAAAAAAGAACAUGAAAAAAGAAAAACCAAUAAAAUAUGAAGUUAGAGAAGACAGAAAAUAAAGAAUGAGAAGUGAUAAAAACAAAAAAUAUAAGGAAAUAGCGAUAAAGAAUAAAAUUAAAAACACAGAAGAAAAAAUAAGAAACAAAAAAGUUAUGUUUUAGUUUAAUUAAUUUGUAGAUUUAUUCAUAUAUUUAUAUAAUACUUUUUGGCAAUUAAUUUUGGAUUGGGUUUACUUUUUGGAUUAAUUUUAUUUUGAUCUCUUAUGUAUUAAAUAGUUAUUUUAAUUUUCUUUAAUUUAUAACAUAAAUUUUUUUUUUUUUUUUUUUUUAAAACCUUUUGGCGCCUUGACUAAACACCUAGUAAUUAAUUAAGAUCGUUAUUCGUUGCAGUUCUUAUAAACAAGUUGUAAUGUUAUACGCUUGUUUCAUCUAUCACAAGACUUCGGAUUGUAACAGACGUACGUGAACUUGUAUGUGAAUGAUAUAGUUCAACCGGAGGCGAUGAUUGUAACUUUGUCAAUUAUUACUUGAUUCAAAGCACCAUUUUUAUUUAUUUAUUUGAUAAGAGACAUGUUGAUCGUAGUCAAAGCAACACCUUCCAAAUAUCAAUAUAUUAGGACACUGCAGGUUACAAAGCAAAAGACUUGAAGCUUAUUUUGUUUAUCUUCUAGUUAAACCUCUUUUGAAUGAUCAACACGUCCACGACGGCGAUGACGACGGCUUGUGCGAGUUGAGUUAGCCUCUUGCACAGUGAUGCUGCUUUCCCCGAGCUUCUGACCGUUCAUUCCGUUAAUGGCAUCCCACAUUGAUUUCUCGUCUUUGAAAGUAAGAAAUGCAUAAACCUUUAUGUUUUCAGAAUCACGUUGAUCUGUAAGGGAAAUAAGAUUGUAGAAUAUUGUGUUGUCUUCAUAAUGAUCUCGUACAAGGCAUAUAUAUAUACACAAUAUAAACCCUAGAAUAUCUUGACGGCUAAGCUAUAGACACCGACAUACUUGAAGCCCAAUAUUACCGAGCCCAAUUCCCUAAUACUCCCCCUCAAGUUGGAGUGUGGAGAUUCGAAACACCCAACUUGGACAUUAGAACUUUAAACUGAGGACGUCCUAAAGCCUUGGUAAGAACAUCAGCAAUCUGAUCUUUGGAACGAACAUGAACCGCAGUAAUAACGUCUUCAGUAACCGCAUCACGAACACAGUGACAAUCACGUUCAAUAUGUUUAGUGCGCUCAUGAAAAACUGGAUUGGCGGCAAUGUGCAUUGCUGCCUCACUAUCGCAAUAGAACGGAACAGGCUGUGUAACCGGAUUGCCAAGAUCACCCAUCAACUGAACAAUCCACUGAAUCUCCUUUGUAGCAAACGCCAUGGCCCGGUAGUCAGCUUCAGCCGUAGAAUGUGAGACAGUACUUUGUUUCUUUGUUUUCCAAGAAAUCGGACAACCGCCAAGUAGAACCACAUAUUCACUAAGGGAACGUCGUGUCAAGGGACAGGAUUGCCAAUCGGCAUCACAAUAGACAGACAACUGAAGAUUGCUAUCGGAUUUCAAGAGAAUACUUUGUCCGGGGCAGCCUUUUAAAUAUCUUACAACACGAAGUGCAGCUGUCCAAUGAGACUGAUGGGGCUCUUGCAUAAACUGUGACAACAAGUGGACAGCAUAACACAAAUCUGGUCUUGUAACAGAAAGAUAGACAAGACGACCAACUAGGCGUCGAUAACAAAAAGGAUCCGAGAGGAGAGGACUUGUAUCCGACGCAAGUUUGUGGUUUUGCUCAAUCGGUGUCAAUGCCGGCUUUGCGCCAAGGAGACCUGUGUCAGCGACAAUAUCAAGGAUACAUUUCCUUUGAGAGAGGAAAAUACCUUCGUCAGAACGUGCUACUUCAAUACCGAGGAAAUAUUUGAGCUUACCCAGAUCUUUCAUGUGGAAACAUUCGCCCAAAUAUGCCUUAAACUUUGUCAAUCUCUCCAUGUUAUUGCUUGCAAUAACCAGAUCGUCCACAUAAAUCAAAACUCGAAUUUCUGUCCCGCCCUUCUCAAAUGUGAAUAAUGAGUAAUCGGAAUAAGAUUGCUUGAAACCGAACUUUAACAGCACAGUAGACAGUUUGGCGAACCAGCAACGUGGUGCUUGACGAAGUCCAUAAAGGGAUUUCCGAAGACGCAGAACCUUAGUAGGAUCAGAGUGCGUAAAACCCGGAGGGAACUUCAUGUAAACUUCUUCUUUGAGGUCACCAUGAAGGAAAGCAUUAUGGACAUCCAUCUGAUGCACUUCCCAAUUCUUUGCGGAAACAACACCUAAAAGACUACGCACAGUCUCCAUUUUAACGACUGGAGCAAAAGUUUCGUCGAAAUCUUCCCCUUCCACCUGAAUAUUUCCCAUAACUACCAACCGAGCCUUAUGACGUUCGAUAGUUCCAUCGGCGUUAUAUUUAAUCUUAUAGACCCACUUGCAGGGAAUAGCAAUCUUUCCAGGCGGAAGUGAUUCAACAUCCCAUGUGUGAUUAUCUUCGAGAGCAACGACCUCGUCUUGCAUAGGAGCAUGCCAAACCUCAUCCUUUACUGCUUCCGUAUAGCUCUUGGGCUCAACACCUGCAGUCACUGCUGCCAAGAAUGCUUGGUGCGAUGGUGAGAACAAGAGAUCAGAGACAUAAGCAUCCAAGGGAUACGGUGUCUUACCUUGGAAAGUUUCUGAAGACGCCGGAGUGGAGCAGAGUGAGGAGAGAUGGGGGUUAAGGGCGGCGGCAUUAUACGUAACAAAGCCUUUGAGACGCGUAGAAGGAAUGCGCUCUCGAUGUCCACGACCUAAUACUUCAACCUCAGUAACUGAAUCAUGGUCAACUUGUCCUGAGGAAGUUUGGGACAGCUCCAAAACAGGGGACUCUGUUGCAACAUGGGGUAUAUCUUCAGUAUUGGGAGAUGGAGUCUCAACUAGAGAUUCCGUCGGAACAGGCAGUGAGUCAGGUGCAGUAGAGGAAAGAGGGGCAGCGGAAUCUGGUGUUGGUGAAUUCGAAGCUUCCUCCACAGCAGCUGACUCAGAACUCCCCCUGACUUCGGAAACCGGAGGCGAUGGAAUUGCCCAAUCGUCAUCACAAAACGACGAAGACGAGAGAUGCUGAGGUGCGACUACGGGUGAGACGGGAGGCAAAGACGAAAAAGGAAAUUCAUCUUCAUAGAACACAACAUCGCGAGAGAUGAUGAACUCCUUCUUGUCUAAAUCAUACACUUUCCAUCCCUUUUGUCCAAAAGGAUACCCAACAAAACGCAACGACGACUGCGGGAGCCAAACUUGUCUUUAUCCCUUGACCGUAAGUGUGUGUAACACAAACUUCCAAAUACACGGAGAUUGUCAUACGAUGGUGUUUGUCCGUAUAAAAUCUCAUAAGGUGUUUUGCCCUUAAGAAUGGCUGUUGGGGUUCGAUUAAUGAGAUGAGUUGCAGUCAUGACAGCUUCUCCCCAAAACUUGAUCGGUAAGCUACGUUGGAAAAGUAACGCGCGAGAUACGUUAAGAAUGUGUCGAUGUUUGCGUUCAACUCUUCCAUUCUAUUGAGGCGUGGCAACGCACGAGGUUUGAUGAAGAAUUCCUUGUUCACGAAAGAACCGAGAUAGACACAUAAACUCUGUGCCAUUGUCACUAUGAACUACCUUCACCGUUUUAUGAAAUUGCCUUUCUGACAUCGCACAAAAGUUCUGAAGCACCAUAUGCACUUCUGUCUUUUCGAGAAGCAAAUAAGUCCAAACUGCUCUUGAAAAAUCGUCAACAAUAGUUAAAAAAUAAACUGCUCCACUGGAGGAUCUGGUUCGGUAAGGACCCCAAACAUCACAAUAAAUUAACUGAAAACAUUCAUUUGAUUUAUUUGAACUUGCAACAAAAACUUCUCUAGUCUGCUUUGCCCGGAAACAUGUGUCACAAGGACUAGGGGGCAGCAGAUUUAUUCAACGAAAACAUAGGUAAUGACGCUAAAGCAGAAAACGACGGAUGCCCGAGCCUCUGGUGCCAACAAUUCUGAUCAGCCAAGCUAACAACCGGACUGGUGACUCGAUGAACCCUUGCAGCCAUGACAUCUUUAAAAUAGUAAACCCCAUCCCUCUCUUCACCUGCUCCAAUCAGGGUCCUCGUGAAACGAUCCUGUAAAACACACAACGUAUCGGUGAGAAGAGCAAAACAAUUGGUCCGUUUUAGCAGCUUUGAAACAGAUAUCAACGAGCAAUUAAGAUUUGGCACAAAUAAAACAUUGUCCAACACAAUAUGGCUUGUUAAUGGAAAUACGCCCAUAUGAGUUGCAAAUGUGCGAUUUCCAUCAGCAAAACCAACAGCACAUGGUGAGAUACGAGACGUGUUCUCAAGAAAAGACAAAUUUCCUGUCAUGUGGUGAGAUGCUCCCGUAUCUAGUAUGAGAUCACCUGCACCACGCUUACCAGAGAGACGAUCGUUGGAGGAUUUAGUUUUCUCCGAAAUCAGCUGAGAAAGUGCUUUCCAUUGCUCUUCGGAAAACUCUGGGAACGAGGACGAAUUGGAUGUGGUAGCAUGAGCGUUGCUUGCGUGCACACCGCCAUUCCCACCUCGUCCUGCACCGCGACCUCGUCUACCUCCGCGACCACCUUUGUUCGCGGCUCUGUUCUGCGCACGAUCUUCCCACCAAGAAGGAAAACCGACUAGCUGCCAGCAGUUUGCUUUGACAUGGCCACUGCGACCACAAUGAGAGCAUUGAGUACCACGUUCAUGUUGUGAACCACCUCCAGACGUAUCAGAAGACGAGUCCCUUUUUGCCACAAAACCCACCGCGUUUUGCUGAGACUCGCGUUCUUUCGCGGAAUUCAGUCUUUGCUCUUCCCGAACUACCUUGGCAUAGAUUUCACCAAGAUCUGUGGAUGCAUCGGAGGAGAUGAUGGCCUGACACAUACCACCAAAACGAGCCUCAUCUAACCCCAUUACAAACUGAUGCAUCUUCUCUUCUUCACGCUCCUUUUCAUACUCAGCAGCAGCACUACAUGUGCACGCAGGAAGAGGUUUGUACAUGUCAAGCUCUUCCCAAAUUUUGGACAACCGUCCGUAAUACUCGAUGACGUCGUCACCGUUUUGUCGACAAACAGCUAACUUCUCCUUCAAGUGAUGCACGCGCACCUUGUUUCCCACAGAGAAACGUUUGCGAAGAUUCUCCCACAACUUGUGUGAAUCUGUGAUGAACGUCACCGUAGAUCGGACCCGCGGCUCAAUGGAAGUGCGGAUCCAACCAACAAUCAUCGAGUUAACCGACAACCACAGCUCAAGUUUUGGAUCGCUUGCUAGUGGCUUUGGUAUGGUGCCCUCGACGAAACCCAACUUCUGUUUUGCACGAAGGGCAUUAGUCAUCUCGCUUGCCCACUCAUUGUAGUUGUCACCGUUUAACAUCACCGACGUUAUUAGGGCACCAGGAUUGUCCGAGCCAUACAGAGUGUACGGCGUCGCAGCUCCAGCGUUGGAAACCAUUGGAGCGGUGGUCGUAAUUGUACUCACGGAAGACUCAACACCAUCGACCAUGGCUAAUCCUUGAAUCGAACUUUGAACAAGGAAGUAAACAAGAACACGCUAAAACGAACUUCGGAUUAGCGAAAGAGAAAAAAACAACUGCCUUUAGGUCUCAGAAACGAUGUCGCUCUGAUACCAUGUAAGGGAAAUAAGAUUGUAGAAUAUUGUGUUGUCUUCAUAAUGAUCUCGUACAAGGCAUAUAUAUAUACACAAUAUAAACCCUAGAAUAUCUUGACGGCUAAGCUAUAUACACCGACAUACUUGAAGCCCAAUAUUACCGAGCCCAAUUCCCUAAUAUGAUCUUUAAUGACCUGUGAAACAAUUUACAGAUGAAUCAAAACUCCAAUACCACGGUGCAUGGUAAAUUGAUCCCAAAAACAAAACAAGAAAACAAAAAAAACCAACCGUUGUAUAUGUAACUUCGCCAAAGGGAGAAAAUAAAAUGCACUUUCAAGAUCAUCUUCUUCAGUGUCCGAGUCCAGAUCGCCAAUAAAGCACGUGAAUUCGAUAUCUUCGGACGCCAUUUCUGAAAGAGAGAUAUAAGACAAUUUAUGGUUUUUAUAAGUAGAGAACAAUGCGACUUAUCAAGGUUAUGAGUGAGGGCUAGAGACGUUGAGUCAAUUUAUAGAAACUGUGUGAGGUUGAAAAUUUAUGCAUAUGGUCAAUGCAACACGUUGAAUCUAUUAAACAAAACUAUUCUUGAAAUCCUAAACUUUAGACAAUAUUUGAUCUUUAGAAUAGUUUCAAAAAAAAGUCAUAAGCAGAUUUCAAAGUGAAUUUCGUUUACCAAUUGUUUUUUUCCGGCUAAUAUCAUUUUUUUGGGGUAAAAAGGUGAUAAAUUACAAGAAACAAAUUAUUUUGGAAACAAAAAUGAUGAACAUUUUUUGUUAACGAUGUUUCUGAAUUCUCCCUUAGUUUAUAAAAUACAAGUUUUUUGUUUUUUUUGUUUAAGACCUAGUUCCUAAACUUUAGACAAUAUUUUCUCUUUAGAAUAUAGUUUCAAGAAAAAUUCAUAUGCAAAUUUCAAAAUGAAUUUCGUUUACCAAUUGUUUAUUUUGUUUCCCGGCUAAUAUCGUUGUUUUUUUUUGGUAGAAAGGUGAGAAAAUUACAAGAAAACAAAUUAUCUUGGAAACAAAUUAAAAUGAUGAACAUUUUUUUAACGAAGUUUCUGAUCCUCACUUAGAGAGAGCAUUUAUAUUUUCUUUUCAAAAAAUCAAAGUAGGCUCGCUUUUCCGUUAAUUCUCUGCUAACUGACUUUACACGGCGGCGAUGGCCGUUACCUCUGAAACUCCCGACGGCUCUAACGGCGGCGAUCCAAACAAGAAAUCAGAAGAUGUCGAGAAAGAAGGGAAAGAAGAAGAUGAGAAUCAAAAGAAAUACAGUAUCGUUCGAUUUCUUUCCCAAAUCUUCCACACGAACUCACCUAACAAAGAGAUAGAAGAAGAGAAUCAAAAGGAGAAACCUGUAGAUCAAGAAGAAGAAAUACAGUAUCGCUCGAUUUCUUUCCCAAAUCUUCCACACGAAGUCACCGAACGUUGCGUCGCACUCUUCCGGAGAUGCAAUUACCCGAGCCUAUCCCUCAUCUCCAAGGGCUUUCGCACUCUCACCGCUUCGCCGAGACUCUACGACGCUCGCUCGCGACCCGGCGUCACCAAAUCAGUUCUUUACGCCGCCUUCGGAUUCCUUCCAUCCCCAGGCCCGAGCUGGUACAUUCUCCGCCGUAACGAGAUCUCCUCACGACUGUUCAGAAUCGACGAACUCCCUUCGAUGCUUUGGGGAUCUGCCGUCGUCGCAAUCGGAUCGAAGAUGUACGUAAUCGGAGGAAGCGCCGGCGGGAAACCCUCAUCGGAUGUGACUCUAAUCGAUUGCAGAUCCCACACGUAUCGCUUGCUCCCGAGGAUGCGUAGGCCUCGCUGCCGGGCAGCCGCCGGAGUAAUCGACGGGAAGAUAUACGUAGUCGGAGGUUGCGCGAGGCGAUCUUCUACGACUUGGGUCGAAUCGUUCGAUGUAAAUUUCUGAGACUUGGAGUACAUUCGUCUCACAUCGGAUUUAGAAGCGAUUGGAGAGGAGAGUUUGUGACAUGUGCGGUGAUGGAGGAGAAGAUUUACAUGCUGGAUCCUGAUCGUUGUUUGAUUUACAAUCCCAGGGGAGGUGUUUGGGAAACUAGAGUUGAAGAAUUGAAGCGUUUGUGGAAAGCAUCGUCUUGUGUGGUUGAUGAUAGGUUGUAUUCGAUCGAUCCUGCGUGUAGUCCUGGAAGUCCAUUGGUCGUAUAUGAUCCAAAGGAGAGGACUUGGAGACCUGUGAGAGGUGUGUAUGGUUUGCCUAAUAGUAUUAAUAUCUCUGAUCAUGACUGUAAAAUGGCAAAUCUUGGUGGGAAGCUGGUGGUUUUGGCUAGUAAGAGCCCGUUCUUUAGGUCUGAUCAUCACGGCGUAGAAGAGAUUUGGUGCGUAGAGAUCAAUUUGAAAAGACGUCAAGGUGGUGAGAUUUGGGGGAAUGUGGAAUCAAUCAAUCGUGUGCUUACAUCAAUCGAGUCGCCUUACAUUGAGCAUUGUCGAACUGUUCCUUUGAUGAUGCUUGGGAUUGGUGUUCUUGCAGGUAUGUAUGUUUAUGUGAUAAAGUUAUGGCAUUUUCGUUACCCUCUCAAAGGCUUUACUUAUAGGACAUUCAUGAACUUGCAGGUGAAUCAAAGUGACUCAGAAGCUGUAUCUGACACCUCAAGAGUAACUCUUACUUCUUUACCUCUCUGCACAGUGUAUAUACUCUUUACAGAAUUAGCCUUGAGUAGAUUUCUUGAGCUGUAUAGAAGGUGGGCUAUUCCUUUAGCUGCCUUUAUACAAUAGUUCUUACGAAAUUUGUUGUUGAAUUGCAUCUCUGCACAGUGUUGAUGAUACAUGAUACUCUUACAGAAUUAGCCUUGAGUAGAUUUCUUGUAGCUGCCUUUAUAGAAAAAUUCUUAUGACAUUUGUUGUUGAAAUACAUCUUUAGUUAGCUAUGUUUUGGGGGUUUUGUGCCAGUGCACUAAACCACUAACAUAGUCUCAUGUUUUCUCUAUCAUUUUGCUAUCUUUUUUUUGUAUGUUCUGCAAGUCAAAUUCAAGAUAUAGCAGAAAUUAAACCUGCUUCUACUAGAAGAGCAAUAUGAAAUCCUUGGUUGAGAUAAGAAGCAUAACAAAUUAAUUUAGCUAACCGGUGGUUUUGACUUUAUGGGUAACUACAAUAUCAAAUUGAGGAAAUACAAAGACCUGAACUUAUCUACAUAGAAUGUGCAAUGUGAAGAGAAUAUUACCUUUAUGGGUAACAAAACCCAAUUUACUUAAACCAUAUGAGAAAUAUGAAAUUUUGGUUUAGAGAUGAAGCAAAACGAACGGUUUAGCUAUAACUUAUAGAUAACUACAAGUUGACAAUAUACAAAGACUAGUCAAAACACAACCAUCCAAAACUUUUAAAUUUAACAUUUGUUGACACCAUUCGAAGGAAAUAUAUAAGUCAAAUAAGGGUUUCUAAAUAGAAAACAGAGAGACUUGUGACUUGUGUGUAACGUUAAGAAAACGUUUGGUUGCUAGAGUUAUAGUAGAUUUCCUGUUCUUCUGAAUUUAACAAGACCCAUUGUGCUUCUACUAUGUGAAAUCUUGGUUCAGUUAUGUGAAGAUGUUACGUGAGCAAAACAAACCAAGUUGCAACUCAAAAUGUAGUUAACUGUAUGCUGAUUUUACAAGAAGAGUUUCAAAUAAUACUUUUGCCAAGAAAUGAAGAAAUGCCAUUUUUUUGGGUUAUGAUAAGAAAAUGGAAACAAGUAAAAUUGCUUAUAUAUCGUGGUAUAUUUUUUCUUGUUAUAGUUUUGAUUUGCUUAAUUUUGGUUGCAAAUUGAAGAAUUUUAAAUGUAAUAGUAAUCUUUUUACAAAGGAAGAAACCACAAUUUAGAAUUAAGUUAGAUUUUGUCACGUGAGUGUCCAAUCAGGUUUUUAAAACUACUAUUUUAUCUCUCGGUGUAUGCAAUUCAAUGACUAUUUGAAGUUUUAUUUGGUAAAUUAGGUCUAUUUUUUUGCCGCCAUCUUUAUUUUUUUUUGCCGUCAUUUUUUAGUCAAUAAUUAAAAACAAAACAGAACAAUUAAUGACUGAAGCGUAUAUCUAUCUACUACUAAUCAGUCAUCAGUAAGUAGACACAAGACAAGAAAAUCGAAUUAGGCCAUCAUAAUCUCUGAAACUACCGACGACUGACGGCGAUGGUUGUAAUCUCCGAGAUUACCGACGAUUCUAACGGCGGCGAUCCAAACAAGAAACAAGAAGAAGCGAAUCAAAGGAAGAAACCCAGAACUGUAAAGAAUCGCUUCGCCGAGAUUCCAGACGGAAUCACCGAAAUCAUCGUCGCAUUCGUCCGGAGAUGUCAGUACCCGACGCUCUCAAUCGCAUCCCCUACCUUUAGAAAUCUCAUCUCCUCGCUCGCGCCUCGGCGUCGCCGAAUGCUUUCUUUACGCCUCCGUCGGAUUCGCCUGGCCCGAUUUCCCGAUCUGGUACAUUCUCUAUCGAGGAAGAGAUGCUUCUCUACGACUGGGCAGAGUCGAUUCGCUUCCUCUCAUGCCUAAUUGCUUAGUAGACUUCGUCGUCACAAUCGGACCGGAGAUGUAUGUAAUCGGCGGAUCAUUCAGCGACGGAGAUCCCUCGACGGAUGUGACUCUCAUCGAUUGCAGAUUCCACACGAGUCGCUCGCUCCAGAGUAUGCAAGUGGCUCGCUUCGCCGCAGCCGCCGGAGUUAUCGACGGAAAGAUUUAUGUGGUCGGAGGUUGCGCGAAGCGAUCUUCUACGACUUGGGUCGAAGCGUUUGAUCCAAAGAUUUAUGUUGUUAGCUUUACGUCUGUAAUGGCGAAUUUCGGUGGAAAGCUGGUGGUUUUGAGCGCUCAUGUGCCUUCUUCUAGUAGAAAGCGUGCCGGGAAGAAGGAGAUUUGGUGCGUGGAGAGAAGGGAAGGAGGUGAGAUUUGGGGGAACGUUGAAUCAGCCAAGGUUGUUCAUAAAGUCUCCAACUUGGAAUCUGUUGAGAUUUGUCGAUCUGUGACCUUUUGAUGAUACUUGGGACGGUUUCUUGCAGGUAUGUAUGUUUCUGUGAUUGAUUACUGGCUUUUGAAUGAUGGAUUAUUCUCAUGUUUAGACAUUUUCUCUAGUUAAUUCUCUCGAGGGUUUACUUAUAGACAUUCAUGAACUUGCAAUUGCAGGUGGAGGGUUAUUGUUACAUCUAUGUAUAUUUUUGAGCAGCUUGUUGGUCUUAUAGCAAAUUUUGAAGCAGAGUAGCUUAGAGGCUGUUAUCUGACGCCUUAAAGAGUAACUCUUCCUUCUCAACAUUUAUUUUUCACAAUGUGUAGUACCAGUUUAUAAAUACCUUAGCCUUGAGAAGGUACCUUAGCCUUGAUGUAGAUUUCUUAAUGAAUAGUAGCAGUUUAUAAAUACCUUAGCCUUGAUGUAGAUUUCUUAAGCUGUAUAAAAAGGUUAGGCAAUUCUUUUAGCUGCCUCGAUAAUACAAUAUUCUUAAAGAAACUAGUUGAAACUUGAAAGGCAUUUUUAGUUAGCUAUGUUUUGGGUUUUUGUGCAGUUGCACUGAGAUGGUCUCACUAUAUAGCAAGUUUGAAAUCCGUUUGCUUUAAAAAAAACAUGGUUCUAUGCAAGUGAUCACAAUUAAACAUGAGAGAACCCAAUGUGCUUCUACGACACAAGAUGUCAAUAACAUGGUCAUUGCUUUUGGAAUCAGGGAAAAGAUUAACCAACUAGUAUUUUAACCGGUUGUUGUGAUAUUAAAGGCCAUUACAAAGACCAAGAAGCUUUAGGCGAUUAUUCUACACAACCCCUUUUAUUUGAUAUAUCGAAAUCCUCUCUAGUUUUCUUGGAGACAAUCUCAAACCACGAUUAUUUCUGUGAGACUCUUCCACAUGGAUGUAGCUACCAUCAAUCUCAAUGCCUUCCAUCAUCAAAACAGCAUAUGCAUAUCUCAUCGAUUCCUCCUCCUUGAAAGUAACAAAACCAUGUCCUAUCAUUGUGCUGAAUGCUAAGAUAAAGAAAAAAAAAUACAUGGUCACUGUUCCAAGUUCUGGCAAUUGCUUUAAUAAAUAAUAUAGAGAUAUUGGUUCAGAGAUGUGAAGAUGGAACUAGGAGCAAAACAAACCGGUCUACUAUAACCAGUUGUUAUAUAAUCUUAUAUUCUUAUGGAUUCCGCUUUUGAACUUCAGUAUGCUUUUUCUCUAUCACCAUUUGUCAUUCCACGAGAAAACUCUGAACGGAAUCGCAUGAAAACGUAGAAAUCUGAUCAUGAAGAUUGGAAUCAAUAGUUCCCGUGGAACGUCGUGAGGUGAUGACGAAAACGAGAUAAUAUGGGAGAGUUUGAAAAGAUGACAUAAUAACUGAAUCCCACAUCGGUAAUUAUCAAAGAUUUACUUUAAUAUAUAAAACUGUAAAUCAGUUAGUUAGAUCGUCAAUUGGGGGGAGAUAGGAGCUUAUGAUUUAUAUUCGUGGAGAUGGUUCCAAAAAAAUUUAACAUUAAGGCGCCAUUUCUAUUGGAUGAAUAUGAGCCAACCUAUUCUUACCAAUUGACCUUUUUUAAUUAUUUUCGUAUAUAAAACUAAAUUGUUACUAAUUUUUUCUCCACACCAUUAUUACUAAGACAAUUCUACAUAACUUUUAUUUUAUCUUAUGAAAUACGCUUAUAAUUCAGCAGAUUUUUGUUUGCGUGGCCAUGUGAGGAUUGACUUUUGUAGCAUCAUAUCUUCAUAUGACAAGGUUUAAAGGUUUUACAACGCAAUUGAGGUUUGAUUUGUACAUGAAAGCAAAAACCUUAAAUAGUGUCAACAACAGAUGUCAUAAUCAUGAGGCUGAUUCGAGAAUUCAUCAAGGGCAGAGAAUGAAUUUGACAGCUCAAUCUGAUAAGGUUGUUUUGCAUUUGCCGUACGGCUUUUGUUAUGUGACAGAACCGUUGGAGAAGACAGUGUCUCAUCUGGAGGCUUAGCCUUAAUAUCUUCCACAUGGAUGGAGCAACCAUCGAUCUCAUCACCGUUCAUUAGCAUUAUGGCAUCUCUUAUAGAUUUCUCGUCCUCGAAAGUAAUAAAUUCAUAUCCCCUCGAUAUUCCAGUCUCAUGGUCGUUGAUGAUCUGUAAAGACAAAUAUAAACGAUAUAGAUUAAACAGUAAGAAAGAAUCCAACAAACACAAGUUACUAGUAAAACGCGAAUGACACGAUAUCAAGGCGUAACGAACUUUAGAAUCGAUAACGUUGCCAAACUUUGAAAAGGCUCUCUUAAGAUCAUUUUCAUCAGCCUCCAUGUCAAGACCGCGAACAAAGCACUUGAAUACACCAAAUGUUGAUGCCAUUUAAAUGAGAUAUAUGAAGAGAAGAGUGAAAAAUAACUUAGGGUUAUAUAAAGAACAAAGAAACUUGAGAGACGUUUGAAUUAAUGUAUUGAGAUUUGAGAGCUAGGUUUUAAUUUUUUUUUUUUGUCCAACAGUUAGGUUUAACUUUUUAAGUUACAUGAUUUUAACUUCUUUUUUGUCAUGCAUGUCAUAAAUGCUAUUCAGUCUUUCCAAAUUUUAGAAGUCAGUAUAUACAUUUUGGAACUAGCGAAAAUUGUCAAAGUCCAAAAGAAGACUUUUGUUAUUUAGAGUUUCAAAAAAAAAAAAUUAAUAUGCAACUAAUAAGUAAACAUUUUCUCGAUAUAUUUUCAGCAGUAGUUUUGAAUUUCUGUAAAUGAGUAAAAACUACAACACAUUCUUUUGGUUGCCUCAUUGAAAUGCAUCUUUAGUUAGAUAUACUUUGGGUUUUUGUGCAGUUGCACUAACAUGGUCUCACAAUUACAAGUUCUUUUAGUUUGAAUGUAUAUAUAUAAUUCCUCUGGAAGUAAUCCAUACUAUAACAAAAAUCAACCUGGUUCUACUAUAUAUAUAUAUAUAUAUAUAUGAGCAAUAUAACCAAAACAAACCAAGCAGUUUAUAAAACUGGGAGUAAUUUAAUUGACCGUAUAGUAUGUGUACUAUUGAUGAUGAUGAAUUAUAAUGUUGACACAAUAUUUGCUCAAGCCACAGGAGCUC
rnacentral:lncRNA from 1 species